GAUUACUGACAUCGUUGAACAAAUUAGUAUUGGAGAGCUAAUGGUAGCAAGUGAGAUAAAGCAUUCCUAUCAUGAUCAUAAUUUAAGACUGACUUUGAGUGGGAAGACCAAAGAUGACGAUAGUCAGUGUGAUGGGUGCACGAGACCUAUAUCAACUCCUUUUUAUGGUUGUGAGCAAUGCGAGUUCUUUCUCCACAAAGAUUGCGCUGAAUUGCCUAAACAAAUGCCACACCCAUUUCACAAGCAUUUGCUUACUCUCUCAAACACACACGAUGAGAAUGGUUAUUCAUGGUGCAGUGCUUGUCAUCGUUGGUAUCAUGGAUUUCAAUACCAAUGCUACGAAGGAGAUUGCAGCUUCAAUAUUGACAUUCAAUGUAUGUUAUUGUCGGAAACCUUGAAGCAUCCAAGUCAUCAUGAGCAUUCACUCUUUCUUGUCCACAACAACCAGGAAACGAGUUGCAGUGCUUGUUUCAAAACACUAAACUCAGGGAAUGUUGCAUAUAGAUGCAUGAAGCGCUGUGAUUUCAGUUUAGAUGUAGGUUGUGCAACACUACCACUCACUGCUUGGUACAAGUAUGAUAGGCAUCCUCUUACUUUGACUUAUUCUGAUGAUUCUGAGCCUUCUCAACAUUACUGCGACCUCUGUGAGAAAGAAAGAGAGCCAAAUCGUUGGUUUUACUACUGUGCUGAUUGUGAUAACUCUCUUCAUCUUAAUUGUGCUAUUGGAGAUCUCCCAUAUAUGAAGCUUGGAAACAAAUUCCACUAUUAUCGUCAUAAACAUCCAUUCAUUGUUGUGAAAAACAUCUGGAACUGCCCUCCAUGUAAGGUAUGUGGUGAGGUUUGCAAUGGGCAAGCCCUGGAAUGUAAAGAAUCUGAAUGCAACUUUAUUGUCCACUGGAGUUGCCAUUGUAGACUCAAGUUUAAGAAACAGAGAAGGCGCAAGAUGAGAGGUGUGUUGUGUUCUGUGGAAGGAUGUAGCAGAUUUGGUAAAAAUGGGUGAUGACCUUAGUUGUUGUAAUCUGCAUUAUGUUAUGUUUAUGAUAGUUGUUUGUGCAGUAGAAGAUUGUGUUAGAUGAAAUAUGAUUUGUAACAACACAUCUCUCACUUUUCUAUCUGAUUCUUAUCCUUUCAACUUUUAUCUAAAAUUACUGAUGAGAUUGAAGAAUUGGUUUCUAGUUUUUCAUAAGAAAAUAUUUUUAUCAUCUGAACCAUGACAAUACUAAAAUAAUGAACAUAAUGUUGAGUUUCGAAAUUUAAAUACAAAAUCAUUCCUCCGUUCAUAAAAAUUGUGAGUGAUUGUUAAGACCAUGAAAUGUAUAAAUGGUUUCUCAUUUUUUUUCUAAAAAUCAUAAAUUUAGCAUUUGAAGAUAAAAACAUAAUCGAAUUUGGUAUAUCUAUAAAUGUUUAUUUACUUAUUUGUUAUUUUUGCAAAGUGGAAAUGUAUGGGGUUUGUGACAUAAAUCAAUCAAGAUUUUGUGACCUUAAAUCAACCGGCCAUAAAAAAAAAUGUAAAUAUGUUUUAGCUUUACAAGUUAGGUUAAUUUUAUUUCACUUAAUUAGUAAUUAUUUGUACUCCAUAUUUAAAAUAAUAUUAUUAUGCCUAAAUUCUAGAAAAGAAUUUUUUCUUUAUUUGAGGUCUUUUUCUAAUUUUUUUGAAUUUUCCGUCAGAGUUUUUUGUAAUUUCAUUUUAAAGAUAAAUCAACACUUUUUACAACUUAGAAAAGAAUAAAAUCAAUUUAGGAAAAAAGUCCUUUUUUUUUUCUUUGCCCUCAAAAUAUUAAGAAAAAAAACCCUUUUCUUUUAUUUCGCUUUUUAAUUUUAAUUUUUAUUAAAUUAUCCAGAACUAGAUGAAAAAGUUAACGAGCUGUUAAUUUUGAUGAUGUGAAUGAUUAAUGUUUAUGUAACAUCCAUGACAAUUCACGUGUGCCACGUCAAUAAAAAUUAAUUAUGUUUAUAAAAUUUAAAAAUAUAUUAAAUAUUAAAAACUAACAUCUGACUUUUUUUAAUUAUUAUUUUUAAAAUUUCAAAUUCUUAAAUAAUUUAAUAUUAAGCUGCCAAAUUUAAAAUAUUAAUAAAUUAAACUAAACGCUUUUUCCAUUAAUAAAAAACAUUUUCUUCCUUAUUCUUUUUUAAAAAAACCAAAAUGAACUCUAAAAGAUACUUCGAUCUCUCGAACCCACAUUCGAAUCAUUUUAAAAUUCUAAACAUAGCUUGUUGCACUUACAAGUAGAAAAACAAAAGAAAAACGAGCUUUUAACUCAAAUGAGAGAAUAUUAUUUUUAUUGAAUUGAUGAAUAAAUCCAUAUAGUUCUAGCCUUUUAUAGGUCUUGUAAUAGCUCAAAGCUAAAAAUAACAAAACUAAAUAUGAGAAAAUUUGAAAAUUUUAUUUAAGUUCUCUCAAACUUUUUAAAAAUUCUCAUUAAUUUUUUCAAAAUUUUUAAAAAAUUGUAAUCAAAAUUUUUAAAAGUUUUAAAAAUUCUUAUUAAGCCCCAAAAAUAUUUUAAACCUUGAUUAAUCCCUCUCAAAAUUUAAUGCCAAAAUCCACCGUUGAUUUUAUAUAACAAAAAUACUAUUAUGCAAAAAUUCUAAAUUGAAUUCGGGGGAAAUUAUUUAAAAUUAAUUAGAUAACCUUUUGCAUAAUUUUUAUUUUUGAAUUAACUAUUCCAAAAUUAUUCCUCUCUAUUAUAUUUUUAUUAUCAGUUGAAGCGGACAUAACUACAAUGAAAGUGACCAAAUUCCAAAUUAUUGUAUUUUGAUACCAAAAUUCAAGUAUUGUGUAAUUUAUCUCCUCCAAAAUUGUAAUGAUAAAAAAAAUGAUAAUGGCAUAUUCAACCCCUAUACUUUAUCAAAAUAUCUAAUAUGGUAUCUUCACUUUUAAAUAUCAACUUUGAUACCUAAAUUUUAGAAAUUUUUUAGGACUUAAAUAAUAUAAUUUUUGUUAUAAUUUUAUAAGAUACACAUAUUAUUUUUAUAAUACAUUUUUUUUAGAAUUUAUAAUUAUAAUUUUUUUUGCUACAACGAUCUCAAAUACUCAUUUGUGUUUAUGCUUAUGAUGUAAUUUUUAUAACUUGUAAAGUAUAAUUUUUUAAAGGUAGAUUUUGGUGUAAUUAUAUGCGUAAUUAUUCUAAUUCUCAUCUUCCCCUAGAAAUUGAAAAGUAUAAGCGGGGUGCUCCAAUUACAAUUAAUUUAGUGGGUCCUACAAAUUAUAAUACUUAUAAAAACAUGACAUUCUUAACUAAUUUCAAGUAAUUACACCCAAGUUCAGUUAUCAGAUGACUUUUCAAAUACUACCUUAGUAAAAAUUAGUGAUUGAUCAAAAAAGUUAAUUGAAAGCUUUGCUUCUUAUUUUAAAUUAGAGGUAUUCAUGGCUCGUGUGGCUUAGCCCGAAGGCUUGCCUGAAAAGUAGGAGAGUUUAGGCAAAAAUAUAAGCCCGAAAUAGUUUUGGACAAAAUUUAUGGCCUGUUUAGAAAAUGAGUUGGACCUCGAGUAAGUUUUUUUUAACCUGGGCCCAGCUCGAAUUUGAAAAAAAACACUCUUUUUCUUGUUUUUCACUGUUUUGUUGUCAUUUCACUAUUAUGUUGUUAUUGUUUAGAUAUUGUCUAACUCUUAUUUUAUUGUCAAUUUUGCUACUCUUUUAGAGACUUUUGCUUGUUCAAUUUCACCUAUCUUAAUUUUAUUUACGUAUAAAUAUUUUUAUUUUAAUUUAUUUUUAAUUUAUUGGGAAACAUUUAUUUUAAUAUUUUAAGUAUAUUUGGUGUGUUAUGUUUUUAAAAUUUUCUAUAUAAAAAAUUUAAUACGGGUGGGCCAGACCAAACCUAUCAAUUGGGCCUAAAAAACUGCUAAGGCCUAACCCAAUCCGACCCAUAAACACCUCUAUUUUAAAUCAUCUUCUUUGCUGAUUUAGGCUUAAGUAAAGAGGUGUUUAAGCAAAGAGAUAAAAAGGAAAAAAAAAUCCGACAAACAAAAUAAAAAAUCUUGGUUGGAAAGAGAAAAUAUAAAUAUCAAAUUCUUUAUAACUUGUUUAAGAAUAUUUGGAUCAACAUAAUGAAAAAAGAAUGAUAAUGACAUAUUCAAUCCCUAUACUUUAUCAAAAUAUCUAAUAUGAUAUCUUUACUUUUAAAAUAUUAAUUUUGACACUUAAAAUUUAAUAUCCUUCUAAUGGAGUUAAAAUCUUACAUCACUUUGAAUGCAACCAAUUGUAUGCUGCCAUGUGGCACUAUUAGUUUGAAAAAAUUUAAUCAAAGUCAUGGGAUUUGAAAAUAAUUAUACCAAAAAUUGUUUUAAAGGCAAAAAGAAAAAAAAAACAUUAAGACCAACCCAAGCCCGACACAAUUUAGCCCAUCAACUCAUCUACCCUAAACUUAAACUUUGCUCUCACACUACCCAAUUCAAUCUUCGCUUAUAAAAAUUGCUGUCUAAAUUAUACAUGUUUUCUCAAAUACAUUUUUAAACUUCUUUUUUGUCAAUUUGAGUAUUUAAACUAUUUUUUUUCACAUCGGUACCCCCAUUAGUUAUCCUUUAGUUUGAUUCGUUGGAAUAAAAAUAAAAUAAAAAUUAGCUUUCGGAGAGAUGAUUGAGUGGUUGAUAGCUUCGGUCCCGAAAACCGGUAUAGUUCGAAACAAAGAACUAUUGAGGGUUCGAAUCCCUUUCUCUCCUUUUGCUUGAUGAAUAGAUUUCUUUCUUUAUUACUUUUUCCUGACUUCUUAAUUAAGAAUCUUAAUAUUAAUAAAAGGUAAUGGCUCGAUUAGGUGGAAUAGCUGAGCCAGAAAAAAAAUUUAGAUAGAAAAUGAGUUGAAACGAAAGGAAAACAUAAUACUUUUUAAAUAUCAUCUGAUUCCUUCAAUAUAUAUAGUGUAAUCAAAUUGAUUCCUACCUUAAGCAUUGGAUCUCUUGUCUCAGUUAUCUCAACUAAAAGGAGUCAUGGAAAGAACAGGCUCAAAAUCACAAUCAAUUACUUUUUCAAAUCCUGCUGCAGUUGCGCAAGCUCUUCCCGCGUGCCAUAAAUAACCCACGAAUAGGAAGAAUCCUAGAACAAAAUGAAAGGUAGCCAAAGUUGUAUGUCUUUUUUCAACCUACUCAAGUCCAAACCACUGGGGUCUCUUAUAGGUUCUAACCAAAGAGCACGCAGAUUAAACGCAUAGUUUUCCCUCCAAAAAUGACUUCCUCCGUCGGGGAACACAUUAGAUAUUUACCUAACCUAGUAGGUGUAACGGCCUAAUUUUCAAUGGUGUCAAAAAUGGUGAUUUGAGAUCACUAAAUUCAACAAGUAAGAUUGAACAAGAUAGUAAUUUAAUAUUUAUGAGUCAAGUAAUAAUUUAGAAAAAUUUGUAAAUUGGUGAAUUUAGUGAAUUAAUAGAAUUUAUUAGUCAAACGGGUCAAAAAAUGAGGUUUCGAGACCUCAAAUUUGAAAACUAAGCCAUAAAUAUUUUUAUAAAUAUUUAUGGAGUGUCAUUUAGUUAGUGUUAAAGUUUGGUUGAGAAAUUUUAACGUUUGGGUAGUCAAUUAAAUAAAAAGGACUAAGUUGUAACAAAUGCAAAAUUUUCUAAAAGGAUUAAAUAGCUCAAGUGUUAAAAGAAAUAGGAUUUAAAGGGAAAUUAAGCCUAAAAGUGAAUAGGCUGGACGACAAGGGCAAGAAAAUCAACAGAAAAAUAAGGAAAAUAAGGGCAAAAUUAGAAAUUCUAUAAUUUUAACAUAUAAAAUAAGGACAAAAUUGAAAAAUCUAGAGAUCUCUUCAUAUUUUCUCAGUUAAAACGCCAUAGGAGGUCUGGAGAAAGCUGGUUUUCAUAUUUUUACAUCAUAUCAAGAAUCCAAAGAAGAACGAGGAAACAAAAAAGUUGCAGAAUAGUUCCUAGAUUUCGAAAUCUUCUACAAAUCAGUCGGGCAAGUUCAUAUGGUUGAAUUUACAUGUUUAUUUGUGAAUGAUUGAAUGAUAUAAUGUGUUAUUAAAUAUGAAUUUGCUGUGGGAUUGUGAAAAUUAUGUUAAAAUGAAAGAAUAAAUGUGGAAAUUCAAAUUAGAAAAAAUUCAGGAUUGAGAACGUUCGUAUCGUGACAUGUGAUGAAUUGACGGAUAAGACCAUGGUUGAUCCAUGGCAAAGUUGUGAAACGUAGCUAUGGUAUCAUUCAUACUGAGUUGUGAAACGUAGGUAUGGUAUUAACCAUACCGAGUUGUGAAACAUAGGUAUGGUAUUAUCGAUAUUGACUUAAGAAAUGUAGGUAUGGCUUUCCCCAUACCGAGUUGUAAAAUGUAGGUAUGGUAUUUCAAUGAGGAAAACUAUACUGAGUUGUGAAUCAUGGCAUUGAGCAACGACGUACUCAAUUUUGUAAGCCGUUUCCUUAUUUGAUAAUAAGUAAUACAAGAGGAGUGAACCAAAUAAAAGAGAUUGAGUAGUUGUUAAUGUUGAGCUCAACUAUAUGAAGUAUUAUAACAGUGGUUGUGAAUGACUAGGAACUUUAGUAAAUGUUUUGUUAUUGUUAGGAAAUAUUAUGUUUGGUAAGCAUUACUUUUAAACCUAUGAACUUACUAAGCUUUAAUAAGCUUACUUGUGUGUGCUUGAUAUUUUUAUGUAGAUUGAAUUGAAGUGAAAUUGGUAGAUCGGAUCAACACAACAAUGCACACUAUCCAGAUCAAUUCCGAUAGCUUUUGUUUUAUGUUUAAAGAUUUAUAUGGCAUGUAUAAAGUUUAAAUGAAAUGAAGUAAAGAUAUUAUAAACUAGUUAACAAUAUUUUGUACUAAAACAGUUUUUAGUUAGCAGUAGUAGUUCAACUUUGAAAAUUCACCAUAAAUUAUGAAAAUUGAAUUAGAGGUUGAAUAAGAUAUGGAAUUAAAUCCUAUUAAAUAUAGUUUCACAUAGAAGAAACGGUGUAAGCAAAAGACUUUCAUAUUAGGAGAUACUUGAAUUUUUAUGAGAUAAGUUCAGAGUGAUUUUGAGUUCCCCUGUUCUAACUUUGGAAAAUCAUUAAAAAUUGUAAAAGAAUAAUUAUGGGUUAUAAUUUAUAUGCUUAAAAUCCUUAAUGAGUCUAUUUUUAAAAGAACAAACAAAAACAUCAUCUGAAUCCUUUAUGAGGAGAUAAUUAAUUUUUAGUGAAGAGGGGUCAGAACUAUCAGACAGCAAAACAGGGGAGACUUUAAAGAAUAAAUUGUACAUAUUGGCUAGACCAAAAAUUCUGAAAAUUUUAUGGUAGGAAGAUAUGUGAGUCUAGUUUCAGGAAAAAUUAGCAUAUCUUAAUUUGGAUUUCUGUAGCUCAAUAUAUUAAUAAUUUAGUGACUAUGACUCGAGUGAACAACUUUGAUGUGAAUAUAAGUAAAUAAUGAAAUUUUUGUGUAAUUAUUCCGUAAACUUCAAUAACAUCUUGUAACCCUGUUCCGGUAACAAAUGUGGGUUAGAGGUGUUACAGUAGGCCCUUAAGCAGAUUCGACGUUAGCCCUAAGACGUUGGUCUCUAAUUAGAAAAGCAAAUGCUUGAGCUUGAGAAGCUUCUGGUCCAGUGGGCCCGUAAAAGUCACAUGCCAGUUGUUAGUCAACCUCAAUCAAUGAUGAUGUGUUCUAAUCACCAAUUAACAUGAGGUAAAAAAAAAUCACCUCGUUAUUUGUAUAAAAUAAUUCCAAAAUUAAAAAAAAUAGAGAAAUUAAAAUUAUUUUUCUGAUUUUAUAAAUUUAUAUUAGCAUUUAUAUUAAUAUUAAUUGAAAAAAAUAGUAAAAAGUAUUUCCCCACCUCAUCUCUCUCCCACCUUCUCCCUAACAUUGCUCUCCCAUCCCUCUCUCUCCUUCUCCCCUCCUAACCCUCUCCCUUUAUUAACCCUUCAAUUAUAUUUUCAUCAAAAGAAUUAUUUUUCAUUUCUUUCUUAAACAUUGAUUCUUUGUCCCAUAGUUGCCUUCAAAUCCGUCCACCACAUGUUUGGGAAGAUGACCCUCAAGAAAUAAAUUUCAAGCCUGAAAUUGGUGUUUUCCUUUUUUAUGUAUUGAAUUUGUUUCCUUACAAUAAGAUCUUUUACAGUAAAGUGUAGCACAAGGGAAAGUGUUGAGAAAAAUGGGAUUAUGAUGUUUUAAUUCUUGACUUAAUGUUGUCCAGGUAGAUGGAAGAUGACAAAAUCUCCAUUUGAAGAUCAAAGGAAAUUGAGAUGCAAGUUGUCUUUGGAGAAGAAGAGGGAGGGGAGAGCGGUGGUGGAGGAAGGAAAUAUCUUUUUUAAUUGAUAUUAAUAUUAAUAUAAAAUUAUAAAAUCAAAAAAAGAAAUUUUCUAAUUUUUUUAUUUUGCUAGGUGUCAACUGGUAAUUGGGCCAUGUAAUUACUGACAAAAUUGAUUGACCUAUGUGGGGUGGGGGGGGGAGGGGGAAUUAGUUUAGCUACUCAAAUUGAUCAAAAAAGUGUUUAGAUACCCAUUUGAGAAAACAAAUACAGUUUAAAGAAUAAAUUUUAUAUUAAGCCUUCAAUCUAUAAACAGAUUUACUUAUAAUUUAUUUAAAUUAAUUUAAUAACAUCGAUUCAAAUUAAUUCUUAGAAUUAAAUCCUAUAGUUCAUAUAUUAAUAAUAAUAAAUAUUAUAUUAUGAUACAUUAUUGAUGUGGAUAAAAAAAUAUGUAAAAAAAUUAUAAAAAAUAUUAAAAAAAUGAACCUUUGGAUUAAAUUCCAUAUUAUUAUAAAUUUUAUGAAAAAAAGUCUUUAUAAUAAUAGUAAAAAUUUUAAUUUUUAAUAAUUUUUAAACUGAUAUUAAACUAAUUCAUAUCAUCCAAUCAAUUAAGUAGAUAUGCUUCUUCUUUAUCUGUUAGUCUUUAGUAGUUUCUAGUUAUGUCUUUCACCUACAACUUAUGAAUGAUGCAUUUGUAAUUAAUUGGAUUUGGUCACAACUGUACUGACAUCGAUUCAACUAAAAAUUGAUGAUUUGAUUGGUUUAAUCACCGAUUAAACUGUUAAUCCAAAAUAGUCAAUAAAAUAUUUUUAUUCUAGGAUAAAUAUACAUUUUGGUAUUUGAACUUGAUUUCAAGGUUCAAAUUAGUACUUAAAAUUUAGGGUUUAAAUAGAAAGAUAAUGCACUUCAACACACUCAAACUCAUGUCUUCUUGUAUUGACAACAAUGCGUAUGCCAAUUAAGUUAAAGCUCAAUUGGCGAUUUUAGACUCUUAAAAAUUAAUAAUUCAAUUUAAUUUAAUUCUUUAACCCAAAACUUUGAAGUUGGGCUCUCAAUAAUAUAUAUUUUAUGCUAAUCAUUUUAAUUAAAAUAUUUUGAUUUUCGAUUUUGUCUCCUAGUGAGCAAUCGAUCAAUCCAAUCCAAAGAUUUAACAAACUUUUUUAUGAAUCAAAAUAGAACCAAAUUCUCUAUAAACCCGACAAAAUCAAAUUAAUUUUUUUCUUCUUUUAUUAAUUUAGGUUGCUUGGUGCUUAAGGCAAUGAGAUUCUAAUUCCAGAUAACAAAUAAAAUAUUAGCUAUUUCAAAAUUUAAAAUAAAAAUUUAAUAUUUGAAAAUAAUAUCCUAUUAUAUUUCACAAUUUCUUUUGAAGAAUAUCUGGAACUUUUCACUAACAAUUAAAAAAUCUCAAAAAAAAAACUAGACAUCAAUUCAAUCAAGAAAAUUACUGAAAAACUAUUUUUUAAUAAAGUAAUAAAUAUUAAUACAAUGGUGUUUUCGUCUUUGGCUAUUCGCAUAUGAAAUGCUUAAAUAAAAGCAUUGAAAGUUAAAUGUAUAAAGAUUAAGCCUGAGCUUAUAAGAAAACUUAGUUAUGAAUACUAUGAUUGAAUUAUUAAAUAAUAUUGACAACAAAAUACUAAAUAAACUUUUUUUAUAAAUAUGUUUUUAAUAUUAAUUUUUUCUUUCACUUGUGGAUAUGACAAAACUCGCUAUAUUUAAAAUUGAAAGUCGAUUAAUUUGAUUUUAGAUUUCCAAAAUGAAAACAAGCUUACCGGACCAACAACAUACUCGACAAAACUAAAAUCGACCCAUUGAAUUGCUUUAGUCAGUUUGACCCUACUAUUGCACACCCUUAGUUUUGCUCCCUGAAUGUAAGUAUACUUGUUAACAUCGGAACUGGUAUCAUUGGAAUGAAACGUGGAGAGCAAGCGACGAACUUUUCCGAAGAAAAGUGUCCUCUCCUACUUCCUUCUUCCUCUUACUUUCUUCUGAUGUUUCCUUCUUCUUUCUUUCUUUAUUUGCUUAAUUAUAUGUAUAUCUAUUUGUAGAAUUUCGAAGAUUGGGCAAAGCAUCAAUAUAUUCCUUUCUUUAUGAAGACCAAAACCAACACCCAAGAAAAUAAUCUACUAACCAUGAGGCCUGGAAUAAUUUGAUGAAGCAAUUUCAUUUUUGUUCUUCUUCUUCUAAAUAAUUUCACAGUAUCUGAGAGUUGGAAAGAAAGAGAGAUGGAAAUUCAACAUUUCAGCCAUCACCAUCCUUUGGUCUUCAUCCAAUAUCACAGUGUUGCAAGCAAAGCAGCUCUUUGCCUUGGGUGUGAGAAACCUGUAGAGGGCUGGAGCUAUGGCUGCAAUCAAUGUGAGUUUUAUCUUCAUAACGAAUGUGCUGAGUUAGAGUUAGCCCCCCAGAUUCAGCAUCCCUUCCACCCCAAACACCCUCUCACUCUUUUGCCAAAAUCACCUUAUGGGGACACAAACUGGUGCGAUUUGUGUGGUAAGAGAUUUCAGGGAUUUGCUUAUAAUUGUAAUGAUUGUGGUUUCGAUCUGCACAUCAAUUGUGCUUUGCUUCAAUCCUCCAUUGCUGCAAAUUUUCCUAAGUCUUUGCACCCCCAUCCAUUUUUCUUCAUUCAAAACCAUAACAACGAAGUCCAUUUUGAUUGCUCCGGGUGUCAAAAACCAAUAUCUGGUCCAUUUUACCACUGCUCAGAUUGCACAUAUACUAAAGUUUUUAACCUUCAUAAGGAAUGUGCUGAACUACCCCUUGAGAUUAAUCACCCUUGUGACCGUAAGCAUCCUAAUACUCUCUUGCCACAACCGCCUACUCAUCCCCAGAAAUGUAGUUGCUCUAUGUGCAGAAUCCAAUGGAAGGGGUUUGUUUAUUCCUGCUCUCUUUGCAACUUUGAUCUUUCACUUGAUGAUUUUCUUUUUUCACCACUAACAAUCACAGUUGCAAGUCAUGAACACCCGUGGAUGCUUGUAUCUAGAAAAAUGUCAUUUGUUUGUGAUUUUUGUGGCACUGACGGAGAUUACUCCCCCUAUUUCUGUGCUACAUGUCACCUCCUUGUCCACAAGAAUUGCAUUUCAUUGCCACGCCACAUCAUGAUUGUCGUAACCAUUUUUUUUGGUAAAACGGUAGUCGACUUGGAUUUUGAAAAUGAAAACAAAAAAACGGGGAGUCGCCACCAAUCCUUUUUGAUGAGGUGUGAUCGGAUCACCUUAAAUUAAUCAUUUUAAUAAAAGUUAAGACUUACUAAAACGAUAAUUUUUGGUCUACGAAAAUCAGAAAAUGAGUUUGGGAGUCGAUUACGCACGAGGAAGGAUUAGCAUCCUCGAUACGCCCAAAAUUGGUACCUAGUUGAUUAAUUAGUGUCUCAAUGUCGAAAAUUUGAAAACUUGAAAGAAUUUAAAAUACGAUCCCUUUUUUGUGAAGUAAACAUUGAAGCGUUAAAGACAUUCUCGUUUCGAGGCAACGACACGUCAUAUCCAGUGAGUUAGGAUACGGCAUCUCGAUCUUUUGAGAAUGAGCUUGCCUUUUAUUUAAAAUUGAUGUAUUUUGACUUCUUUUAAAAGGAUAUUCGGCUAGUUAGAGUGAACGAGAGAAGUCGAAACCCAGUAAGUUAGGGCACGUUUCCUCGAAUUUUCGAACAACGAACAUUGCCUUUAUUUGCAAAAAUUCUUAUUUCGAGGUAACAAAGUGUCAUACCCGGUAAGUUAGGGCACUACACCUCGUAUCUCCGAAAGUAAGCAUUUUUAAGACUCGUGUUGCAAUUUAAAUGAAUAUUCCAUUAUAUAGGUUAAAUGAGAAAAAUUGAAACCCAGUAAGUUAGGGCACGAUUGUCUCGAAUUGCCAAAUACGGAACAUCACUUUUAUGAAAGGAUUAUUUUAAGGCAUUGAGUAAAAAUAUAAUGUAAUUUAUAGUAAUACAUAAAAGUAGAUUAUGAUAUUAAUAAUAACGUAUAAUAAUGAGUGAUAAUAACGAGUAAUUAUGAAAAGAUGACAUAGAAGUAAGGUUAGUAAUACGUAAAUAUAAACAAAUGCGUGAGAAAAAUGAAAUGAUCGAAUACAUAAGUAAAUAAAGGAAAUAUAAAACAUGAUAGCACAAAAAUGACAAUAAUGAUGAAAACGAUAAUAAUAAUAAUAAUGUUGAUAAUGAUAAUAGUGGUGGUAAAACUAUAAUAUUGAUGAUAAUAAAAAUAAUAAUAAGAGUAUUAAUAUUUGUAUUAAUAAUAGUGAUAAUAAUAAUAGAAAAUAAUAAAGGAAUGAUAUUAGAAAUAGUAAUAAAAAAUGAAAAUAAUAGUAAUAAUAAUGGUAAAUACAAAUAGUAAUAACAAAAUACAAAUAAUAAAUAACCUAAAGUUUAAAAUUAAUAUUUAAAAAGAUAUAAAUAAAAUAAAUGAUGAAAUAUUAAUAAUAGGGGUAACGACAUAUAAGUAAAAUAAAUGUGCUAAAUAUAUGUAUUAAAUUAGUUAAUAUAUAAAAAAAUAAUAAUAACGUAUAGGUAAAUACAAAAGAGGAAAAUAUAAUAAUAAUAAUACAAUAGUAAUAAUAGUAAAAGGUGUAACGAUAUAAUAAUAUGAUGGUAAUAAAAAUACAAUAAUAAAAAUAUAUUAAAUAACAAAUAAUAAUAAUGAUAAUAAUAUAGAAAUAUGAAAAGCAAAUAUAUUAAGUGUUAAAUUAAAAUAAUAAAAAUUACUAUAUAUAUAUAUAUAUCUAUGUACAUAAUAUAUCUAUGUAUGUAUUAGAAAAUAUAAUAUAUAUAUAUAUAUAUGCAUGCAUUGUAUUUAGAAGAAGAAAUAUAUAUGAUGUAGUAUUGAUGUACAUGCAUAACAUACAAAUAUAUUAAUAAAAAGAAAACAAUAAUAUCAAACUAUUAAUAUACUAUAUAACAUACAUACAUAUAAGUAUUAAACGAGAAUGAUACUAAGGCUAAUAAAUAAUAAGUAUAAUAAUAAUAAUAAUGAAAUAUAAUAGUAUGUAUAAUGUUAAAAUUGAAAUAAAAUAAUGAGCAAAAGUAAAAGAGGGAUGAAAAUAAAAAGGGAAACGAAUUUUGGGACAAAUUUCAAAAGAAAUAAAAAGGAAACGACCUAAUUGCAACAGGAACACGGCCUAAAGGUACUAAAAGUGUAAUAUUCCCCCCGGCUCAAAGUGUAACACGUGGCCGUGGACCAAGUUGAAAAGCGGGACAAGUUUCAGGCCCGAAUUUAAAGUAAAAAGACUUGAUUGUAAACGCACGAAAAAGCGGAGGGGCCAAAAGCGCAAAUAACCCCUUCGCUUCAAAAACACGCGGAUCCCAGGUCGACGGGUCGGGUCAGCCCGCUCCACCCCUAAACGGUGCCGUUUUGCACCUUAGGGGGGGGGGGAAGGGCCAAAACGGUACCGUUCGGUACCCUUAUAUAAGUCAAACAUUUAUUUUUUUUAUUUCCUUCUUGCUUUUAAAAGAAAACUUCUCUUCUCUUCUUUUUCUCUGCAGGUGCCCUAGGUCCAGCCAGCACUCCUCGCCGUCCGUCGCGCCCUCCGCGCCGGUGCCGUCGCCGGCUACCGCACGCGGUGGCCGGAGUUUUAAAAAAAGGGUAUAUUUCUUCUUAUUUUUAUUAUUAUUUUUGUUUAUAAUAUAUGUAUAUAUGCGAAUAAAAGGGCGUGGAAAAUAGAAAAGAAAGAAAAAUGAAACAAAUUGAAAGAAAAUGAAAUCACCUUUGUUCCUCUGAUCUCUGAUUCUAUGUUUUCGUUUCUUCUUUUAAUGUUUUUCUCUUGAUUGGAUUUUUUUUUGCCUUUGACUUACUGAUUUUUGUGUUUUAAAAUCAAGUGCUUCUUUUUUUAUUUCUCACCAAAAAAAACCGAAUCCUUUUUACAUUUUCGUUUUUGGUUUAUAUAUUUGUGCACACUGCCCCUUUUUGCUUUCUGUCUUCUCUUUUUUAAUGCUUGCAGGUGAAUGGCGGUGGACUUGACCUGUCGGUGGGAGCAGAGGCGGUGGUGGAUGGGACAGGGAGCAAGUGGCUGAAAUAGCUUAGGGUUUUCUUAGCUUUUUUUUCUUUUGUUUUGUGUUUGGGUUGGGCUAGGGUUUUGAUUUGUUUGGGCUAAGGAUUGUGGUUUAAGCUGGGUAUUAAGUUUGGGGUUAUUUUAAUUUCGGGCCCAAAAUUGGGCUGUACAAUAAUAACACGACAUCGUCACACGAUCUGUCUUUCUUAUUCUUAUUCUUUUAGACAAAAUCAAGUUGAAGAUGGGAUGUGCAGAGUUUGUUAUUUGGAAGUUGAUACAAGCUACGGCAGUUACCGUUGUUCUACUUCUGAUUGCAAUUAUAUUGCUCAUGCACGUUGUGCAACUGAUAAAGCAAUUUGGGAUGGAACAAUUAUGCUUGAAGGCUAUGAUGAGAGGUCCGAGGUAGUGGUGGAUGAACCUUGGAAUUUGAUUACUGAUGUUGUUGAACAAAUUCGUAUUGGAGAGCUAAUGGUAGCAAGUGAGAUCAAGCAUUCCCAUCAUGAUCAUAAUUUAAGACUCACUUUUAGUGGGAAGACCAAAGAUGAUGAUAGUCAGUGUGAUGGGUGCACGGGACCUAUAUCAACUCCUUUUUAUAGUUGUGAGCAAUGCAAGUUCUUUCUCCACAAAGAUUGCGCUGAAUUGCCUAAACAAAUGCCACACCCAUUUCACAAGCAUUUGCUUGCUCUCUCAAACUCACACGAUAUGUUUGGUUAUUCAUGUUGCAAUGCUUGCGGUCGUUGGUAUCAAGGAUUUAGCUACAGAUGCUACGAAGGAAAUUGCAGCUUCGAAAUUGACAUUCAAUGUAUAUUAUUGUUAGACACCUUGAAGCACCCAAGUCAUGAGCAUUCACUCUUUCUUGUCCACAACAACGAGGGAACUAGUUGCAGUGUUUGUUUCGAAACACUAGGGUAUGUUGCAUAUAGAUGCAUGAAGCGCUGUGAUUUCAAUUUAGAUGUACAUUGUGCAACACUACCACUUACUGCUUGGUACAAGUAUGAUAGGCAUCCUCUUACUUUGACUCAUUUUGAUGAUUUUGAGCCUUAUCAAUAUUACUACGAUCUCUGUGAGAAAGAAAGAGAGCGAAAUCGUUGGUUUUACUAUUGUGUUGAUUGUGAUAACUCUCUUCAUCUCAAUUAUGCUAUUGGGGAUCUCCCAUAUGUGAAGUUUGGGAACGAAAUCAAAAGUUUUCAUAAGCAUCCACUUACUAUUGUGAAAAACAUCUGGAAUUGCCCUUCAUGUAAGGUAUGUCGUGAGGUUUGUAAUGGGCAGGCCCUAGAAUGUAAAAAAUCUGAAUGCAACUUUAUGGUCCACUCGGGUUGCCGUUGGGGUCUCUAGUGAAGCAUUUUAACAAUAUUCCGUCAAGUUUAAGAAACAGAGAAGGCACAAGAUAAGAUGUGUAUAGUGUUCUGUGGAAGGGUGUAGCAGAUUUGGUAAAAAUGGGUGAUGGCCUUAGUUGUUGUAAUUUGCAUUAUGUUAUGUUUACGAUAGUUGUUUGAGCAGUAUAAGAUUGUGUUAGAUAAAACAUGAUUUGUAAGCACAUAUCUUUAUCUUUCACUUUUCUUAUCUGCUUGUUAUUCUUUCAACUUUUAUCUAAAAUUAUUAAUGAGAACGAAGAAUUGCUUUCUAGCUUGUCAUAAUAAAAUAUUUUUAUUAUCAGAACGAUAAAAAUACUAAAAUAAUAAAAAUAAUGUUGAGUUUGGAAAUUUAAAUACAAAAUCAUUCUUCCACUCACAAUUGCAUAAAAAAUUAUGUGUGAUUGUUAAGACCAAAACAUAAGCGGAUUUGGUAUACCUUAUUAUUUUUGCACAGUGAAAAUGUAAGCAGGCAUACAAAAUAAAAGUUUAUAUAUGUUUUAGCUUUGUACAAGUCCAAUUUGCAGGCCCAACUAACCCAACUAAAGCCCAACCUAAAACAGGCCCAAAUAACCCCAGAACCCAAUCAAGACCUAAUGCCUAACCCUAGCCCAGUUAGCCCACUACCCAAAAUCAGAAAAAUAAUAAACAAACCCUAGGUGCACCGCACCUAGGGACCUUUGACCAGCCAACACCUGCAGCACCGCCAUUGUAACACCCCUUACCCGAGACCGUUUUCGGAGUCGAGCACGAGGCAUUACUUAGCUUAUCUUACCAAUUCGGAGCAUAAAAACAAGGUUUGAAAAUUUAUUUCAUUAUUCGCAGCAAAUCUGUCCAAUCACGCAGCAGUUACUAAAUUAAUUAUAACUUGAGCUACAGAACUCGAAAUUUAAUUCCGUAAAUUUUCCCUGAAACUAGACUCAUAUAUAUACUCACCAUAAAAUUUUUAAAAUUUUUGGUUCAGCAAAUUAGUACAGUUUAUUAGUUAAAGUCUCCCCUGUUUCACCACCUGACUGCCCUGACCUCUAGUCACUAAAAAUAAGUUUUCUCACUGUAGGAUUUUCAUAUGAAGUUCUUACUUGUUUCUAAAGAAAAUAGACUCAUUAAGGAAUCUAAGCAUGUAAAUUUCAACUCAUAAACAUUUUUGUACAAUUUGUAAUUAUUUUCUAAACUCAGAAUAGGGGACUCCAAAAACAGUUCUGACCCUAUCUUACUAAAAUUCACAUAUCUUAAAAUAUAAAUUUCUUUUUUCUACACCGUUAUUUUUCCAUGAAAAUAGACUCAACAAGCUUUAAUUCCAUAUAUCAUUCACCCUCUAAUUCAUUUUAUACUAUCUUGGGUGAUUUUUCAAAUUCACGUCACUGUACUGCCUGAAUUCUGUUUCUUUGCAAAAUUUUAUCCUUUCAUGAUUUCCAUGCAUAAUUUAUCACCUAAUCUUUCAUAACAACAAACACCUUCAUCCUUAACCAUUUUAAUAACCAUACAUCAUCAAAUACUUACACAUCACUCAUUAGCAAAAUCAUCAUUACAAACAUACAAAAUAACUAAAUCCCUAUACAUGCCAUAACUCAAACGUGUUUCGAUAUAAAAUACCGAGCAGUUGUAGUUGUUAGUGUGGACGAUCUCCGACUUCUUUAGGAUCCUUGAAGUAGCUUUGCAAUACUAUAAGAGAAAGAGAAAUAAAAGAAGUAAGCAUAAAGCUUAGUAAGUUUACUAGCAAAUAAAUAACAAUAUUUAACUUAAAUAAUUAAACUCAAUGUCUAUAUCUCUAGUUUACUCUUUAGUUAAUCUUAUACUAGUUCUCUUACUUGUUUACUUAGAAUACUUGUGUGCAUAACUUACUCAAUCCUUGCUGCAUCGUUGAACAUCAAUUGAUAGUAUAAUAAGUUCUUAAGUCUUACAACUUACCUGGGCUUGCCAUUUAUGCUUUAAACUGAACUUCCAUGAACAUGAUUCGUUUACAAGCCCGUUGAGCUACAUUGGAAUAAUAAGGAUACUCGGGUCUCUUCUGAUAAUAACAUGCCAAAGCCAUGUCCCAGACAUGGUCUUACAUGGGAUGUUCUCGUGAUGGUGCCCAUGCCAUGUCCCAGACAUGGUCUUAUAGGGGACCUCUCAUAUCGGUGCCAACGCCAUGUCCCAGACAUGGUCUUACAUGGGACCUCUCGUCUCGGUGCCCAUGCCAUGUCCCAGACAUGGUCUUACAGGGGACCUCUCAUGAUCUUAAGGAUGCCAAUGCCAUGUCCCAGACAUGGUCUUACAUGGGAUCUCUUUACCCAAAUGUCAUGACAUUCGUAUCCAGUACCAUCCUUAUGUAUCAACGGGACUUUUAAAUUUUAAUUCUCUAUCAUUUCAUGCUUGGAUCAUCAUCAAAUAAAUUCAUAAAAUAAAUUCAUAAUUGCUGGAAAUUAACAGCAUUAAUAAUAAAUAUUGAAAUAUUGCAUUUAUUUACCGUAAACUUACCUCGGUACCAAUUAUAGCCAAAUUCACCAACUUAGUCUUCAACUUUAUUCUUCCCUUUGUCUAACCUCGAGUUUCGUACUUCUUGAUCUAAAAUAGUAAAUUUAACUUAUUUAAUAAUCACAUUCAUCAAAACAGCCCUCGACUCUAAAUUUUUCAAAAUUACAAUUUUGCCCCUAAACUUUUACAUAAUUACAUUUUUGCCCCAAGGCUCGGAAAUUAAACUUCAUCUCUUAUUCUUAUGUUUUAUAACAUUCUGAACAUUUUUCCCUUCUAUGGAAACAUCAAAUUCCCACUCUAACAUGUACUUAUGAACAUUAGGUAUUUUUACCGAUUAUGUCGUUUUACUCGUUUUCACUUAAAAUCGCUUAGCAAAAGUUGUUUAACAUAAUUUAUAGCUUCACAUUCUAUCAUAAAACAUCAAAAUAAAUACUUUUCACCUAUGGGUAUUUUUCCAAAUAUAAACCCUAGGUUAAAUUAUUGCUAGAAUAAGCUAAAUUAAGCUACCGGGAUCUCAAAAACGUAAAGAACAUUAAAAACGGGGCUUGGGAUCACUUACUAUAGAGCUUGGAAGCUUGAAAACCCUAACUAUGGCUUCCCCCCUUGCUGAUUUCGUUCAUAUGAAGAAGAUGAUGAUUUUUGCCAUCUUUUUCCCUUUUAAUUCAUUUUAAUUACUAGAUUACCAAAUUGCCCCUAACUUAAAAAUUUUCUAUUUCACUUAUCUCAUUUCCAUUUUUGUCUACCAAGUUACCAAUGGUAUAAUUACCAUAUAAGGACCUCCAAUUUAAAGUUUCAUAACAAUUGGACACCUCUAACAUGUAGAACUCAACUUUUGCACUUUUUACAAUUUAAUCCUUUUGACUAAAUUGAGUGCCCGAACGUCGAAAUUUUCGAACGAAAUUUUCAAAAAAUCAUUUUGUGAAAUUGUAGACCAUAAAAAUAUAAGAAAAAUAAAAUUUUUCUCAUCGGAUUUGUGGUCUCGAAACCACUGUUCCGAUAACCUCAAAUUUGGGCCAUUACAACUCUCCCCCCCCUUUUUAGGAUUUUCGUCCUCGAAAAUCUUUCUAGUAAAGAGAUUUGGGUAUUGCUUCCUCAUUGUCUCUUCCGGUUCCCAUGUUGCUUCCUCAAUCCCGUGCUUUUGCCAUAGCACUUUCACCAGAUUUACCUUUUUGUUUCUAAGCUCCUUUGUUUCUCGUGCUAAUACUUUAACCGGUUCUUCAUUAUAAGUCAUAUCCGGCUGAAUUUCUACUUCUGUUGGAGUAAUAACAUGUGAAGGAUCUGAUCGAUACCGUCGUAGCAUAGAUACAUGAAAUACAUUAUGAAUUUUGUCGAGUUCCGGUGGUAAAGCCAAUCGGUAAGCAACUGGUCCAAUUCUUUCUAUAAUCUCAUAUGGUCCGAUAAAUCUUGGACUCAAUUUACCCUUUCGACCGAACCGGAGAACUUUCUUCCAAGGAGACACUUUUAAGAAUAUUUUAUCACCCACCUGAAAUUCAAUCUCCCUUCGUUUAAGAUCGGCGUAUGACUUUUGACGAUCGGAAGCUGCUUUAAAACUAUCCCGAAUCAGUCUUACUUUUUCUUCUGUUUCCCGAAUCAAAUCAACCCCGUGUAUCUUCUUUUCACUGAGCUCUGUCCAAUAUAAUGGUGUUCUACAUUUUCUACCAUACAAAGCUUCAUACGGAGCCAUUUUAAUACUGGACUGAUAACUGUUAUUAUAAGCAAAUUCAAUCAAAGGUAGAUACCUUUCCCAAUUACCUUGAAACUCUAAUGCACAACAUCGGAGCAUAUCUUCCAAUACCUGAAUUACACACUCAGAUUGGCCAUCUGUCUGAGGAUGAAAUGCAGUACUGAAAUACAACUGAGUACCCAAAGCUUCUUGCAAUUUGUUCCAGAAACAAGACGUAAAUCGGGGAUCUCUGUCUGAUAUAAUGGAGACAGGCACUCCAUGUAGUCUAACAAUCUCAGAUAUAUACAAUCCAGCCAAUUUAUCUAAAGAAUAAUCCAUACAUACUGGGAUAAAGUGCGCGGACUUUGUCAAUCGGUCGACAAUUACCCAAAUGGCAUCUUUCUUCCUCGGAGAUAACGGUAACCCAAAUACAAAAUCCAUAGUGAUUCUUUCCCAUUUCCAUUCUGGUAUAGUGAUUGGCUGAAGCAACCCCGAAGGUACCUGAUGUUCAGCCUUAACCUGCUGACAUACUAAACAUCUUGAUACAAACUCAGAGAUAUCACGUUUCAUACCCGGCCACCAAUACAUCUUUUUCAAGUCAUUAUACAUUUUAUUACCUCCCGGAUGUACGGACAUAAUACCACUGUGUGCUUCGUGUAAAAUCUUCUGUACAAGUUCUGAAUUCUUCGGUACACAUACUCUGCCUCUGAAUAAUAAACAACCAUCAGUUCCAAUCUGAAAUUCUGAAUCAUUACCUGACUCACAAUGCACCCGUUUAGCCUGUAAUUUCUCAUCAUUCCUCUGAGCUUCACAUAUUUGUUGACGAAAUGUCGAUUUAGCUCUCAAUUCAGCUAUGAUUGAACCAUCAUUAGACAGUGACAACCGGGUAUUCAUAGCUCGUAAAGCAAAUAGAGAUUUUCGGCUCAAAGCAUCAGCUACCACGUUAGCCUUACCCGGAUGGUAAUCAAUAACCAAAUCAUAAUCCUUUAUCAAUUCAAGCCACCUGCGUUGUCUCAAAUUCAAAUCUUUCUGUGUCAUCAAAUAUUUCAAGCUUUUGUGAUCAGUAUAAAUAUGACACUUUUCACCAUACAAAUAAUGCCGCCAUAUUUUCAAUGCAAAUACAAUAGCAGCUAACUCGAGAUCAUGUACCGGGUAGUUUCUUUCAUGUGGCUUAAGUUGUCUUGAAGCAUAGGCUAUUACUUUAUCUUCUUGCAUCAAGACACAACCCAAACCAUUUAAUGAUGCAUCACUAUAAAUAAUAAAUUCCUUACCCGAUUCAGGCUGUACCAACACAGGUGCUUUCGUUAACAACUCCUUCAAUCGGUCGAAACUUUGCUGGCAUUUUUCUAUCCAUUCAAAUUUAACAUCUUUCUGUAAUAAACGGGUCAUUGGAGAAGCUAUCAUAGAAAACCCUUGUACAAAUCUCCGAUAAUAACCAGCUAAACCCAAGAAACUUCUAACUUCAGAUACAUUCUUCGGUGGACUCCAAUUGACAAUAGCUGAAAUUUUACUCGGAUCUACCCUGAUGCCUUCUGCGGAUACAAUAUGUCCGAGAAAACCUACCUCUCGAAGCCAAAAUUCACAUUUACUGAAUUUAGCAUAAAGUUUCUUUUCACGCAGAAUUUGCAACACUAUUUUCAAAUGUUCUGCAUGCUCAGUUUCAUCCUGAGAAUAAACUAAAAUGUCAUCAAUAAAAACUACUACAAACCUAUCUAGAUACGGUCUGAAUAUCCGGUUCAUCAAAUCCAUGAAUACUGCAGGUGCAUUAGUCAACCCAAACGGCAUAACCAGAAACUCAUAAUGCCCAUACCUGGUUCUGAAAGCUGUCUUUGGCACAUCUGGCUCUUUUACCCGUAACUGAUAAUAACCCGAUCGGAGAUCAAUCUUUGAAAAUACUGUGGCACCUUUCAGUUGAUCAAAUAAGUCGUCAAUUCGAGGCAAUGGGUACUUAUUCUUUAUAGUUACCUUAUUAAGCUGCCGAUAGUCAAUACACAAUCUCAAAGACCCGUCUUUCUUUUUCACAAACAGAACUGGAGCACCCCAAGGUGAAUGACUCGGACGAACAAAACCUCUGUCAACAAGUUCCUGUAACUGUGCCUUUAACUCUUUUAAUUCUGUAGGAGCCAUACGAUACGGAGCUAUGGAAAUUGGGGCAGUUCCCGGAAUCAGAUCUAUAGAAAAUUCCACUUCUCUUUCUGGUGGCAACCCUGGUAACUCCUCUGGAAAUACAUCAGAAAAUUCACAUACAACUGGCACUGCCUGUAUCUUUGACUCAGAUACCUUAGUAUCCAACACAUACGCCAAAUAAACAUCAUUCCCUUUUCUAACACACCUCUGAGCUGUCAUAACUGAAAUCAUAUCGGAUAAUCCCUCUGUCUGAUUAGAUUUAACCCAAAGUAAUUCUCCAUUCUGGCAUUUCAACACAACAUAUUUUUGUCUACAGUUUACUACUGCAUCAUGCUGAGUUAACCAAUCCAUGCCCAAUAUCACAUCAAACUCAUCAAAAGGCAAUAACAUCAAGUCAACCGGGAAACAAAUACCUUUUACCAUCAGUGGACAAUUUUUACAAACUUUAUCCACUAUCACAAACUGGCCCAGGGGGUUCGAGACUUUAACUAUAAAUUCAGUAGGUUCAACAGACAAAUUUUUAACAAAUGCUAAUUUUGUGCAUAUAUAUGAAUGUGUAGAGCCAGGAUCAAUUAAUGCAAUAACAGUAGUAUCAUAGAGAGAAAAUGUACCCGCAAUUACAUCAAGAGAGGACGCCUCUUCACGAGCUCGAAUAGCAUAUGAUCUUGCAGGUGCUCUAACAUCUGAUCUAACCGCUGAAUCUUUGAAUGCACCCCUAUUACUUGCCCCCACUCCUGGGUUUCUCUGCAGUCUACCUCUGGUAGGAGCAUUACCUGAUCUCGCACUCGUUAUUUCUUCUCUUUUAGUUGCUUCAGGACAAUCCCGAAUAAAGUGAUCGGAUGCUCCACAUCUGAAGCAAACAUUUUCACCUGCUCUACACUCUCCGAGGUGGCGUCUCCCACAUUGAGGACAUUCCGGUCUAGGAGGUCGAGUACUGCCAGUACUUGCAACUGUAGUGGUUUGAGCUCUAAAACCCUCGAAUCUUCUACUUCUGCUUCGGCCAGAAUAUAUAUGUGGAAAAUGUGAUCCGCUAGAGAGCUCCCUAGGCCUCUUAGAUGUAGACUGAAAUGAUUUACUCAUUUGUCUCUUCUUUGUAUCCUGCGCUCCAGCUUCAGCUUUGCUCUUCUCUUUUUCUUUUAACAAGUCUUCUACUUUACAAGCUCUUUCUACCAGAACAACAAACUCUCUGAUUUCCAAUACACCCACUGAUAGUCGGAUGUCAUCAUUAAGCCCAUCUUCAAAUCUCUUGCACAUGUUGGCUUCGGUGGAUACAAAUUCCCGAGCAUACUUACUAAGUCUGACAAAUUCGCGUUCAUAUUCAGUCACGGACAUCUUACCUUGUUUUAGCUCAAGAAACUCCUUCCUUUUCUGCUCUGUAAAUCUCUGGCUGAUGUACUUCUUUCGAAACUCCUCCUGAAAGAAAUCCCAAGUAACCCUCUCACUCGGUACGAUAGACACGAGAGUCUUCCACCAAUGAUAAGCGGAAUCUCUGAGAAGUGAGACCACACACUUCAUACAUUCUUCCGGUGUACAAGAUAAUUCUUCAAAAACCCUGAUAGUAUUCUCAAGCCAGAAUUCUGUUUUUUCUGCAUCGUCAUCUUUGGUAGCCCGAAAUUCUUCAGCCUCUUGCUUCCUAAUCUUAUCAAUAGGUGGUCUCUCCCUGAUAAAUAUACCUGCAGUUGGGGAAGCUACAUGGGGAACCUGUGAAUCUUGAGGGGGUGGAGGUCUUACAGCCGGAUUCGUACGAACGAACUCGGCAAACCAAUCAGUCAUGGCUUGGAAGAAGGCUUCUCUAGCUCCUCCUCCCUGUCUAUCUGAUGCAGGUCUUUCACUAACAUUAACAUCUGAUGGCACUGUCCCUUCUGCGGGAAUAGGCGCAUUACUCUCUACUUCAUCUGUACUAGCUCGUUCAGGAUCCAUAACUAUAAAAGAAAACAUUUUAAAAUCGUCAGGAGUCGUCACACUAUCAAAAUAUAUAAGUAUGGCAUGUAUAGGUAGACUCUUAUUCUUAGAUUAAAACAUGUUCUUAUCACCCCUAAACACCACCAGUCAAAAUCAUAUCUUACUCAAGUUCAAAAAACCUCCUAGUUGAAGAGAAGACAAUCGAAAUCAUCCUUAACCCACAGAUCCUUAUUCAACAUCGAUCAAGAGGACAUUGAACAUGAUUCCAUGAUAAGCUUGUUAAAAUCCGUCAAGAAAGAAAAGGUGGAUCAGUAGCAUUCAACAGUGUUCCUCAUCAGCUAUGGCCGUCGAUGAUGAACCUCAGACCCCUCAGCCGUUUGAGUUCACAUCCUGAUUUCACUUGGAUUUCGUUUUGACAAUAGUUUUUAGAGACGACUGGUGUUUGGUCACAUUGCAGAUCUUGGACCUCAACCAGUUACAUUCGUUCUAAUGUUUUUUUCUAUUUUUAGGGGAAAUAUUGUCAUAUACAUGCUCAACCAUUAUUCACCAUUUAAUUUAAGCUGAAAAGUGCCACAUUAGAUUUUGUUGCCUAAUUUCUUUUUUAAAUGUUGAUAUGCAUGAAUAUAUUGAAUAUACACUAGAAAUAUAAAAUUAAAAUUAAUUAUAAUUUUAUUUAUAAUUAAGUUAAAUAAAUUAUAAGAAAUAUAAACUAUAAAGCAAAUUGAAACAAAUAUAUAGUAAAAUUUUGAACUGAAAAUAUAUAUUUUAAACUUAAAUAGUAAACUGUUAAACUUAAAAUAUAUUAUUAAGUAAAGACACAUUUUAAUAAGAUUGAUUAAAGUAAAUUUAUAUAUAUAUAUUUCAAUUUCUUAAUUAACUUAAAAAAAUAUUAUAUUCAGGAUUAGAUUUAAUUAAUUUAAUUAAAAUUGAAUGUUUCAUAUUCUUAUCCUUAGAAUGGAAAUGCUUGGGUUAUUAUGGGAAAAGAAAUAUCGACAAAUACUCUAACAAGUCAACGACGAAAAUGACUCUUCUCUUUAAGGAGUAAAGCAUGACCUAAGAAAGUAUACCACAAAGGCUGGAGUAAAGUGAAGCAAACUCAAGGGUUUUCUUGUAAUGGAUGUGAGUGAGUGUGAGAGUAGUACAGAGGGGGAGACCAUGGAACUUCAACAUUUCAGCCAUCAACAUCCUUUGGUCUUCUUCAAAUAUCAGCAGACUGUUGCAAGCGAAGAAGUAGAUCCAGAAGCAGCUCUUUGCCGUGGGUGUGAGAAACCUGUAGAGGGCUGGAGCUAUGGCUGCAAUCAAUGUGAGUUUUAUCUUCAUAAGGGAUGUGCUGAGUUAGAGUUAGCCCCCCAGAUUCAGCAUCCUUUCCACCCCAAACACCCUCUAACUCUUUUGCCAGAAUCACUUUAUUCUGGGGGGUGCGAUUUCUGUGGUAAGGCAUUUCGGGGAUUUGUUUAUAAUUGUUAUGAUUGUAAGUUCGAUCUGCACAUCAAUUGUGCUUUGCUUCAAUCAUCCGUUGCUGCAAAUUUUCCUAAUUCUUUGCACCCCCAUCCAUUGUUCUUCAUUCAAAACCAUAACAACGAAGUCGAUUCUGAUUGCCCCGGGUGUCAAAAACCAAUAUCUGGUCCAUUUUACCACUGUUCUGAUUGCUCGUAUCCUACAUUCUUUAACCUCCAUAAGGAAUGUGCUGAACUACCCCUUGAGAUUAAUCACCCCUGUGACCGUAAGCAUCCUCUUACUCUCUUGCCACAACCGCCUACUCAUCCCCAGAAAUGUAGUUGCUCUAUGUGCAGAAUCCAAUGGAAGGGGUUUGUUUAUUCCUGCUCUCUUUGCAACUUUGAUCUUUCACUUGAUGAUUUUCUUUUUUCACCACCAACAAUCACAGUUCCAAGUCAUGAACACCCGUGGAUGCUUGUAUCUAGAAAAAUGUCGUUUGUUUGUGAUUUUUGUGGCACUGACGGAGAUCACUCCCCCUAUUUCUGUGCUACAUGUGUACUUUUUGUCCACAAAAAUUGCAUUUCAUUGCCACGCCACAUCAUGAUAACACGACAUCGUCACACGAUAUCUCUUUCUUAUUCUUUUAGACAAAAUCAAGUUGACGAUGGGAUGUGCAGAGUUUGUUAUUUGAAAGUUGAUACAAGCUACGGCAGUUACCGUUGUUCUGCUUCUGAUUGCAAUUAUAUUGCUCAUGCACUUUGUGCAACUGAUAAAGCAAUUUGGGAUGGAACAAUUAUGCUUGAAGGCUAUGAUGAGAGGUCCGAGGAAGUGGUGCAUGAACCUUGGAAUUUGAUUACUGAUGUUGUUGAACAAAUUAGUAUUGGAGAGCUAAUGGUAGCAAGUGAGAUCAAGCAUUCCUAUCAUGAGCAUAAUUUAAGACUCACUUUUAGUGGGAAGACCAAAGAUGAUGAUAGUCAGUGUGAUGGGUGCACGAGACCUAUAUCAACUCCUUUUUAUAGUUGUGAGCAAUGCAAGUUCUUUCUCCACAAAGAUUGCGCUGAAUUGCCUAAAAAAAUGCCACACCCAUUUCACAGGCAUUUGCUUACUCUCACAAACUCAAACGAUGAGGAAGGUAAUUCAUGGUGCUGUGCUUGCGAUCGUUACUAUCAAGGAUUUAGCUAUAGAUGCAACAAAGGAAAUUGCCUCUUCAGAAUUGACAUUCAAUGUAUGUUAUUUUCGGACACCUUGAAGCACCCAAGUCAUGAGCAUUCACUCUUUCUUGUCCACAACAAGAAGGGAACGAGUUGCAGUGCUUGUCUCAAAACACUGUACUCAGGGGAUGUUGCAUAUAGAUGCAUGAAGCGCUGUGAUUUCAGUUUAGAUAUAGGUUGUGCAACACUACCACUCACUGCUUGGUACAAGUAUGAUAGGCAUCCUCUUACUUUGACUUAUUCUGAUGAUUCUGAGCCUUCUCAAUAUUACUGCGAUCUCUGUGAGAAAGAAAGAGAGCCAAAUCAUUGGUUUUACUACUGUGCUGAUUGUGAUAACUCUCUUCAUCUCAAUUGUGCUAUUGGGGAUCUCCCAUAUAUGAAGCUUGGGAACAAAGUUAAAUUUUAUGUUCAUAAACAUCCAUUUACUAUUGUGAAAAACAUUUGGAAUUGCCCUCCAUGUAAAGUAUGUCGUGAGGUUUGCAAUGGGCAGGCCCUAGAAUGUAAAGAAUCUGAAUGCAACUUUAUUGUCCACUGGGAUUGCCUGGAUUGCCUUUGGGGCCUAAGUAGAGCAUUUGAAUGAUAUUCCAGUCAAGUUUAAGAAGCAGAGAAGGCACAAGAGGAGAUGUGUGUUGUGUUCUGUGUAAGGGUGUAGGAGAUUUGGUAAAAAUGGGUGAUGGCCUUAGUUGUUGUAAUCUGCAUUAAAUUAUGUUUAUGAUAGUUGUUUGAGUAGUAGAAGGUUUUGUUAGAUGAAGCAUGAUUUGUAACCACACAUUUUUAUCUUUCAUUUUUCUAUUUGAUUCUUAUCCUUUCAACUUUUAUCUAAAAUUACUGAUGAGAUUGAAGAAUUGGUUUCUAGUUUGUCAUAAGAAAAUAUUUUUAUUAUCUGAACCAUAAAAAUACUAAAAUAAUGAACAUAAUGUUGAGUUUCGAAAUAUAAAUAGAAAAAUCAUUCCUCCAUUCAUAAAAAUUGGGAGUGAUUGUUAAGACUAUGAAAUGUAUAAAUGAUUUCUCAAUUUUUUUAUUAUCUAAAAAUAUUAAAUUUAGCAUUUGAAGAUCAAAACAUAAUCAAAUUUGGUAUAUUUAUAAAUGUUUAUUUACUUAUUUAUUAUUUUUGCAAAGUGGAAAUGUAUGAGGUUCUGUGACAUAGAUCAAUCAAGACUUUGUGACCUUAAAUCAACCAGCCAUAAAAAAAAAGUAUAUAUAUAUUUUAGCUUUACAAUUUAGGUUAAUUUUAUUUCACUUAAUUAGUAAUUAUUUGUACUCCAUAUUCAAAAUAUUGUUAUUAUGCCUAAAUUCUAGAAAAGAAAUUUUUCUUUAUUUUAGAUCUUUUUUUAAAUUUUUUGAAUUUUCCAUUAGAUUUUAUUGUAAUUUCAUUUCAAAGAUAAAUUAACACUUUCUACAACUUAGGGAAAAGAAUAAAGUCAAUUUAGGCAAAAAGUCUUUUUUUUUUCCCUCAAAAUACUAAGAAAAAAUCCUUUUCUUUUAUUUCGCUUUUUAAUUUUUAUUUUUAUCAAAUUAUCCAGAAUUAGGUGAAAAAAGUUAACGAGCCGUUAAUUUAGAUGAUGUGAAUGAUUAAUGUUUACGUGACAUUCAUGACAAUUCACGUAUGUCACGUCAGUAAAAAUUAAUUAUUUUUAUAAAAUUAAAAAAUAUAUUAAAUAUUAAAACUUAACAUCUGACUUUUUUUUAAUUACUAUUUUUAAAAUUUCAAAUUCUUAAAUAAUUUAAUAUUAAGCUGCCAAUUUUAAAAUAUUAAUAAAUUAAACUAAACACUUUUUCCAUUAAUAAAAAACAUUUUCUUCCUUAUUCUUUUUAAAAAAAAUUUAAAUAAACUCUAAAAGGUACUUCAAUCUCUCGAACCUACAUUCAGAUCAUCUUAAGAUUCUAAACAUAGCCUAUUGCACUUACAAGUAGAAAAACAAAAGAAAAACGAGCUUUUAACUCAAAUGAGAGAACAUUAUUUUUAUUGAAUUGAUGAAUAAAUUCAUAUGGUUCUAGCCUUUUAUAGGUCUUAUAAUAGCUCAAAACUAAAAAUAACAAACUAAAUAUGAAAAAAUUUGAAAAUUUUAUUUAAGUUCUCUCAAACUUUUUAAAAAUUCUCAUUAAUUUUUUCAAAAUUUUUAAAAAAUUGUAAUCAAAAUUUUUAAAAGUUCUAAAAAUUCUUAUUAAGCCCCAAAAAUAUUUUAAAUCUUGAUUAAUCCCUCUCAAAAUUUAAUGUCAAAAUCCACCGUUGAUUCUAUAUAACAAAAAUACUAUUAUGCAAAAAUUCUAAAUUGAAUUCGGGGAAACUAUUUAAAAUUAAUUAGAUAACCUUUUGCGUAAUUUUUAUUUUUGAAUUAACUAUUCCAAAAUUAUUCCUCUCUAUUAUAUUUUUAUUAUCUGUUGAAGUCAAACAUAAUACUGGUUGAAGCGGACAUAACCACAAUGAGAAUGACCAAGUUCCAAAUUAUUGUAUUUUCAUACCAAAAUUCAAGUAUUGUGUAAUUUAUCUCCUCCAAAAUUGUAAUGAUAAAAGGAAUGAUAAUGGCAUAUUCAACCCCUAUACUUUAUCAAAAUAUCUAAUAUGGUAUCUUCACUUUUAAAAUAUCAAUUUUGAUACCUAAUCUUUAGAAUUUUUUUAGGAUUUAAAUUAUAUAAUUUUUGUUAUAAUUUUAUAAGGUACACAUAUUAUUUUUAUAUUACACUUUUUUUAGAAUUUAUAAUAUUAUUUUUUACCACAACGAUUUUAAAUACUCAUAUGUGUUUAUGCUUAUGAUGCAAUUUUUAUAACUUGUAAAGUAUAAUUUUUUAAAAUUAGAUUUUGGUGUAAUUAUAUGCGUAAUUAUUCUAAUUCUCAUCCUCCCUAGAAAUUGGAAAGUAUAAGUGGGGUGCUCCAAUUACAAUUAAUUUAGUGGGAACCACAAAUUAUAAUGCUUAUAAAAACAUGACAUUCUUAAGUAAUUACAAGUAAUUGCACCCAAAUCCAAUUAUGAGAUGACUUUCCAAACACUACCUCGGUAAAAAUUAGUGAUUGUUCAAAAAAGUUACUUGAAAGCUUUGCUUCUUGUUUUAAACUAGAGGUAUUCAUGGGUAGGGUGGCCUUGCCCGUAGAGGUGUUCAAUCGGUUAACCUACUCGAAAUAACAUUAACCAAAUUAACCGACCCUUCAAAAUUUUUAACCGUUAAUUGAAUCGAAAUUUUUUCAAAAAAAUUAACCGAACUGAAAUUUUUUCGGUUAAUUCGGUCGGUUAACCAAAUUAACCGAAAAUUAUAUGUAUUUUUAUUUUUGGUUAAAAUAAGUAUAAAAUUAACCGAAUUAACCGAAUUAAUCGAAUUAACCGAAUUACCCUAAUUAACCGAAUUGUUUGUAUAAAAUUAUAUAUUUUUUAUUUUUAUUUUUAGUUUUAGAUUUUUAUUUUUAUUUUUAUUUUUAUUUAUUAAUUAUUUGUAAUUUUUAUGAUUGGGUUCGGUAAUUGGGUUGGGUUGGGUACUUGGGUUAAUAUAUAUUAGAUUGGGUAUUUGGGUUUAUGUUGGAAUGAGUUUGAGUGAAUAGUGGGCUAUUUAUAUAUUAUAAUUUUAUUUAUUAAUUUUUUUGGUUAAACCUAAAAAAUUUGGUUAAUCGACCUAUUUCGAACCAAAUUAACUGUUAACCGGAAACUCAAAAAAUUAUUAACCGUCCCCCGACUGAAUUAAUUCGGUUAACCGACCGGUUAACUGAAUUCGGUCGAUUAACCGAAUUUUUUCUGUUUUACCCGAAUUUUGCACACCUUUACUUGCCCGAAAGCCUCCCUGAAAAGUGAGAUAGUUUAGGCAAAAAUAUAAGCCCGAAAUAGGUUAGGACAAAAAUUAAGGCUUGUUUAGAAAAUGAGUCAGACCUCGAGUAAGGUUUUUUUUAACCUGGGCCCAGCUCGAAAUUGAAAAAAAAAACCUCUUUUUCUUGUUUUUCAUUGUUUUGCUGUCAUUGCACUAAUUAUUGUUUGGAUAUUGUAUAUUUCUUAUUUUAUUGUCAAUUUUGCUACUAUUUUAUAGACAUUUGUUUGUUCAAAUGCACCUAUCUUAUUUUUAUUUAAGUAUAAAGAUUUUUAUUUUAAUCUAUUUUUAAUUUGUUGGGAAACAUUUAUUUUAAUGUUUUAAGUGUAUUUGGUGUAUUAUAUUUUUAAACAUUUUUAUAUAAAAAAAUUAAUACGGGUCGGCCAGACCAAACCUAUCAAUUGGGCUUAAAAAUUUGUUAAGGCCUGACCUGACCCGACCUAUAGACACCUCUAUUUUAAACCAUCUUCUUUGCUGAUUUAAGCUUAAGUAAAGGGAUAUGUUUAAGCGAGGAGAUAGAAAGAAAAAAAAAUCCAACAAAUAAAAUAAAAAAUCUUAAUUGCAAAGAGAAACAUAAUAUAAAGAAUAUAAAUAUCAAAUUCUUUAUAACUUGUUUAAAAAAUUUCGAAUCAACGUGAUGAAAAUAAAAUAAUAAUGACGUAUUCAACCCCUAUACUUUAUCAAAAUAUUUAAUAUGAUAUCUUUACUUUUAAAAUAUUAAUUUCAUUUAUUAUUGCGAUAUAUCCUUCUAAUGGAGUUAAAAUCUUACAUCACUUUGAAUGCUACCAAUUGUAUGCUGCCAUGUGGCACUAUUAGUUUGAAAAAUUUUAAUCAAAGUCAAGGGAUUUGAAAAUAAUUAUACCAAAAACUGUUUUAAAGGCCAAAAUAAGACCAACCCAAGCCCGGCACAAUUUAGCCCAUCAACUCAUCUACCCUAAACUUAAACUUUGCUCUCACACUACCCAAUUCAAUCUUCGCUUAUAAAAAUUGCUGUUUAAAUUAUGCAUGUUUUCUCAAACAGAUUUUAAACUUUUUUUUUUUUUUGUCAAUUUGAGUAUUUAAACUAAUUUUUUCUCGCAUUGGUACCCCCAUUAUUUAUCCUUUAGUUCGAUUCGGUGGAAUAAAAAUAAAAUAAAAAUUAGCUUUCGGAGAGAUGGCUGAGUGGUUGAUAGCUCCAGUCUUGAAAACCGAUAUAGUUUGAAACAAAGAACUAUUGAGGGUUCAAAUCCUUCUCUCUCCCUUUGCUAGAUGAAUAGAUAUCUUUCUUUAUUGCUUUUUCCUGGAUUCUUAAUUAAGAAUCUUAAUAUUAAUAAAAUUUAAAGACCCUAAAGUAGCAUGCGUCAUAUAUUUCACAGAACGUCGUUCUUGCCAAGGUUGUAUGUCUUUUUUCAACCUACUCAAGUCCAAACCAUUGGGACCUCUUAGAGGUUAUAACCAAGAAGCACGUAGAUCCCAAGAACACAUAGUUUCCCCUCCAAAAAUGACUUAUCUGGUCGAGGAACGUGUUAGAUAUUUACCUAACCCAGUAGGCCUUUGAGCGAAUCCCACGUUAGCCCCAAGACGUUGGUUUCUAACUAGAAAAGUAAAUGCUUGAGCUUGAGAAACUUUUGGUCUAGUGCGCCCGUAAAGCUAACUAGGUCAAUUGUUAGUCAAUCUCGAUCAAUGAUGAUGUGAUCCAAUCACCAAUCCAUAUCACAUAAACAAAUCACCUCGUUAUUUGUAUAAAAUAAUUCCAAAAUUAAAAAAUAGAGAAAUUAAAAUAAUUUUUUUGAUUUUAUAAAAAUAUAUAUAUUAGCGUUUAUUUUAAUAUUAAUUAAAAAAAUAGUAAAAAGUAUUUCCCCACCCCAUCUCUCAUGUCUAUUGGUGAUAGAACCACAUCAUCAUUGACCAAGGUUGAUUAACGACUAACUAACGAGGUACAAAUGUAAGAAAAAAAUAUAGUUUAGACACUCAAAUUGAUCAAAAAAGUGUUUAGGUACUUAUUUAAGCAAAUGAGUAUAUUUUAAAGGACAAUUUUGAUAUUAAGCCUUCAAUCUAUAAAUAGAUUUACUUAUUAUUUAUUUAAUUUAAUUUAAUAUGAUCUGAUUCAAAUUAAUUGUUAAAUACAUUUAAUGACUUAAAUUUUAGUCACACACAUGACAAACUUCUACAACAUAGCUUUUUAGUUCAAAUUGGUACUUUCAAAUAACUAAGUAUUAAUUUAGAUAAAAAAAAAACCAAAUUCAGGUAUCAAUUUGAAUAAUAAGCCAAGUUUAAGUACUUAAUCGGACCAAAAUACCAAAUUGAACUUUGAAGUCAUGUUUAAGUACCUAAUUGGAAAAAAAAAACUUUAGGUAUCAAUUUGAACUCUGAAGCUAAGUUCAGGUACCGAAAUGUAUAUUUCCCUUACUUUUCCAAUAACUGCUCUCAUUUUUAUCUACCAGAUCGGAGCAAACAUUCAUUAUUGACAGAAAACAAUAAUUCUAGUGAUUAUGUUGAGAGUAAAACUUAAUUUUCUGUCACCGACAAUCACAAUCCGUUUUACUAUUUUUUUUUACUUCCUAACAUUGCAUUAUUUCUCAAUUUUUAAUUCAUAAACGAUCAAGAAUACUUUUAAGAUUUCCUAUAAAAUUCUCUUUUUAUUUGCAAGGAAUCUACAACUCUGGCGGAAAUCAGGCACAUUGUCUUUGAUCGUAGGGUGUUUGCUGAAAUGCUUGACACAAGCAUGCAGGCGUGGGAAGCUAUCAGCUUUGAUAAACUUAAAUCCCACCACCUCUUCCAUAGCCGCCAACAUUUGAAUAACUAUUCCUAAAACGAGGUCAGCCAUGCCAAUUCCAUUAAAAAGAGGCCUAAGCUAAGCCACCAAGCAAAGAGGAAGAAGAAGAGAUGGUUUCAGGGUGAGGCAUGUGCGCCAAAACCCAAGAGGGUAGUGGUGGAUGCAAGGCAUCACAUGCUGGGAAGGUUGGCUUCCAUAUUGGCCAAGGAGUUGUUGAAUGGCCAAAAAGUAGUGGUGGUGAGAUGUGAAGAGAUAUGCAUGUGGGGUGGAUUGGUUAGCCAGAAGAUGAAUAUCAUGAGGUUUCUUAGGAAGCGUAUGAACACUAAGCCUUCUCAUGGUCUCAUCCAGUUUCCUGCUCCUCUAACAUCCUCUGGCGUACCAUUCGUGGGUGUGUUUUUCUUUUCGAGGUUCUUUUCCCUUGUAGUGUGGUUUCACAGUUCUUUAUUUGGUCUGUGAAUGAAAAGGAUGGAAAUUUCUGGGUUUUUGAUGCUUGGUAAUUUAGGAAGCCUUUAUUAUAAACUUUUUGAGAGAUUUUUUCUAUUGAUUUGAAGUUCUAUGAUUUGGAUAAUAUAUAUUGCAAAAGAACCAAAGGAAUCUGUGUGUUUUGUUAUGUUUGAUAUCAAACUUAAUAAUUACAGUUUGCUAUUGGUUUUUCUUAUUAGAGAUCCGUGUGUCUGUUAUGGUUGGUUAUUGGUAAAAUGUAGGGAAGAAGUGAAAGAGAGUAGAAUGAGUGUGCUUGAGGUUAUUAUUGUUGGAUUGAGAGAAAAGUAUUAGUUGACAAGGUCUAUGAAUCUUAUAUAUAUUAUUAAACUUAAAAUAGUAAAUUGUUAAACUUAAAAUAUAUUAUUAAGUAAAGACACAUUUUAAUAAGAUUGGUUAAAGUAAAUUUAUAUAUAUAUUUCAAUUUCUUAAUUAAUUUAAACAAAACUCAAUUAUAUUAAUACAUAAUUAAUUUAUUAAAAUUCAAUGUUCCAUAUUCUUAUCCUUGGGAUAGAAAUGCUUGGGGUAUUAUGGGAAAAGAAAAAUUGACAAAUAGUCUCACAAGUCAACGACGAAACUGAAUCUUCUCUUUAAGAUUUAAGAAGGGCAAAAGCACGACCUAAGAAAGUAUACCACAAGGUGUGGGGUAAAGUGAAGCAAACUCAAGGGUUUUCUUGUAAUGGAUAUGAGUGAGUGUGAGAGUAGGACAGUGGGGGAAACCAUGGAACUUCAACAUGUCACUCAUCCACAUCCUUUGGUCUUCUUCAAAUAUCAGACUGUUGCAGGCGAAGUAGACCCAGAAGCAGCUCUUUGCCUUGGGUGUGAGAAACCUGUAGAGGGCUGGAGCUAUGGCUGCAAUCAAUGUGAGUUUUAUCUUCAUAAGGGAUGUGCUGAGUUAGAGUUAGCCCCCCAGAUUCAGCAUCCUUUUCACCCCAAACACCCUCUCUCUCUUUUGCUAAAAUCACCUUAUUCUAGGGGGGGGGGGCGGAUUGUGCGAUUUUUGUGGUAAGGCAUUACGGGGAUUUGUUUAUAAUUGUUAUGAUUGUAAGUUCGAUCUGCACAUCAAUUGUGCUUUGCUUCAAUCAUCCAUUGCUGCAAAUUUUCCUAAUUCUUUGCACCCCAUCCAUUGUUCUUCAUUGAAAACCAUAACAACGAAGUCUAUUCUGAUUGCUCCGGGUAUCAAAAACCAAUAUCUGGUCAAUUUUACCACUGUUCUGAUUGCUCGUAUCCUACAUGCUUUAACCUCCAUAAGGAAUGUGCUGAACUACCCCUUGAGAUUAAUCACCCCUGUGACCGUAAGCAUCCUCUUACUCUCUUGCCACAAUCGCCUACUCAUCCCGAGAAAUGUUGUUGCUAUUUGUGCAGAAUCCAAUGGAAGGGGUUUGUUUAUUCCUGCUCUCUUUGCAACUUUGAUCUUUCACUUGAUGAUUUUUUUUCACCACCAACAAUCACAGUUGCAAGUCAUGAACACCCGUGGAUGCUUGUAUCUGGAAAAAUAUCGUUUGUAUGUGAUUUUUGUGGCACUGACGGAGACCACUCCCCAUUUAACUGCGCUACAUGUCAGCUCCUUGUCCACAAGAACUGCAUUUCAUUGCCACGCCACAUCAUGAUAACACGACAUCGUCACACGAUUUCUCUUUCUUAUUCUUUUAGACAAAAUCAAGUUGAAGAUGGGAUGUGCAGAGUUUGUUAUUUGAAAGUUGAUACAAGCUACGGCAGUUAUCGUUGUUCUGCUUCUGAUUGCAGUUAUAUUGCUCAUACACUUUGUGCAACUGAUAAAGCAAUUUGGGAUGGAACAAUUAUGCCGAAAGGCUAUGAUGAGAGGUCCGGGGAAGUGGUGCAUGGACCUUGGAAUUUGAUUACUGACGUUGUUGAACAAAUUAGUAUUGGAGAGCCAGUGGUAGCAAGUGAUAUAAAGCAUUCCUAUCAUGAUCAUAAUUUAAGACUCACUUUUAGUGGGAAGACCAAAGAUGAUGAUAGUUAGUGUGAUGGGUGCAUGAGACUUUUAUCAACUCCUUUUUAUAGUUGUGAGCAAUGCAAGUUCUUUCUCCACAAAGAUUGCGCUGAAUUGCCUAAACAAAUGCGAGACUCAUUUCACAAGCAUUUGCUUACUCUCUCAAACUCACACGAUGAGUAUGGUUAUUCAUGGUGCAAUGCUUGCAAUCGUCAGUAUCAAGGAUUUAGCUACAGAUGCUACGAAGGAUAUUGCUACUUCGAAAUUGACAUUCAAUGUAUGUUCUUGUCAGACACCUUGGAGCACCCAAGUCAUGAGCAUUCACUCUUUCUUCUCCACAACAACAAGGGAAUGAGUUGCAGUGCUUGUUUCAAAACACUAGACUCAGGGGAUGUUGCAUAUAGAUGCAUGAAGCGCUGUGAUUUCAUUUUAGAUGUAGGUUGUGUAACACUACCACCCACUGCUUGGAACAAGUAUGACAGGCAUCCUCUUACUUUGACUUAUUUUGAUGAGUCUGACUCUUCUCAACUUUGCUGCAAUCUCUGCGAGAAAGAAAGAGAGCCAAAUCGCUGGUUUUACUAUUGUGCUGAUUGUGAUAACUCUCUUCAUCUCAAUUGUGCUAUUGGGGAUCUCCCAUAUAUGAAGUUUGGGAACAAAUUCAAAUAUUAUCAUCAUAAGGACUGUGCUGAGUUAGAGUUAGCCCCCCAGAUUGAGCAUCCUUUCCACCCCAAACACCCUCUCACUCUUUUGCCAGAAUCACCUUAUUUUGGGGUCGCAAGCUGGUGCAAUUUGUGUGGUAAGAAAGUUCGGGGAUUUGUUUAUAAUUGUUAUGAUUGUAAGUUCGAUCUGCACAUCAAUUGUGCUUUGCUUCAAUCAUCCAUUGCUGCUAAUUUUACUAGUUCUUUGCACCCCCAUCCAUUGUUCUUCAUUCAAAACCAUAACAACGAAGUCGAUUCUGAUUGCUCUGGGUGUCAGAAACCAAUAUCUGGUCCAUUUUACCACUGUUCAGAUUGCACUUAUCCUAUAUUCCUUAACCUUCAUAAGGAAUGUGCUGAACUACCCUUUGAGAUUAAUCACCCAUGUGACCGUAAGCAUCCUCUUACUCUCUUGCCACAACCGCCUACUCAUCCCCAGAAAUGUAGUUGCUAUUUGUGCAGAAUCCAAUGGAAGGGGUUUGUUUAUUCCUGCUCUCUAUGCAACUUUGAUCUUUUACUUGAUGAUUUUCUUUUUUCACCACCAACAAUCACAGUUGCAAGUCAUGAACACCCGUGGGUGCUUGUAUCUAGAAAAAUAUCGUUUGUUUGUGAUUUUUGUGGCAAUGACGGGGAUCACUCCCCUUAUCACUGUGAUAAAUGUGUACUUUUUGUCCACAAGAAUUGCAUUUCAUUGCCACGCCACUUCAGGAUAACACGACAUCAUCACACGAUUUCUCUUUGGUAUUCUUUUCAGCAGAAUCAAAUUGAGGAUUGUAUGUGCCAAAUUUGUUACAAGGAAGUUGAUAUAAGCUAUGGUCAUUACCGUUGUCCUGCUUCUCGUUGCCGUUAUAUUGCUCAUGUACGUUGUGCAACUGAUAGAGCAAUUUGGGAUGGAACAAUUAUGCUGGAAGGCUAUGAUGAGAGGUCCGAGGAAGUGGCGCAUGAACCUUGGAAUUUGAUUACUGAUGUUGUCGAACAAAUUCGUAUUGGAGAGCUAAUGGUAGCAAGUGAGAUCAAGCAUUCCUAUCAUGAUCAUAAUUUAAGACUCACUUUUAGUGGGAAGACCAAAGAUGAUGAUAGUCAGUGUGAUGGGUGCACGAGACCUAUAUCAACUCCUUUUUAUAGUUGUGAGCAAUGCAAGUUCUUUCUCCACAAAGAUUGCGCUGAAUUGCCUAAACAAAUGCCACACUCAUUUCACAGGCAUUUGCUUACUCUCACAAACUCACACGAUGAGUAUGAUCAUUCAUGGUGCCGUGCUUGCGGUCGGUUGUAUCAAGGAUUUAGCUACGGAUGCUACGAAGGAGGUUGCAGGUUUAGAAUUGACAUUCAAUGUAUGUUAUUUUCGGACACCUUGAAGCACCCAAGUCAUGAGCAUUCACUCUUUCUUGUCCACAACAACCAGGAAACGAGUUGCAGUGCUUGUUUCGAAAAGCUAUUCCCAUGGAAUGUUACUUAUAGAUGCAUGAAGCGCUGUGAUUUCAGUUUAGAUGUAGGUUGUGCAACACUACCACUCGCUGCUUGUUACAAGUAUGACAGGCAUCCUCAGUUUAGAUGUAGGUUGUGCAACACUACCACUCGCUGCUUGUUACAAGUAUGACAGGCAUCCUCUUACUUUGACUUGUUCUGAUGAUUUUGAGCCUUCUCAACUUUACUGCGAUCUAUGCGAGAAAGAAAGAGAGCCAAAUCGUUGGUUUUACUACUGUGCUGAUUGUGAUAACUCUCUUCAUCUCAACUGUGCUCUUGGGGAUCUCCCAUAUAUGAAGCUUGGGAACAAACUCAAAGGUUUUCAUAAGCAUCCACUCACUAUUGUGAAAAACAUUUGGAAUUGCCCUCCAUGUAAGGUAUGUGAUGAGGUUUGCAAUGGGCAGGCUGUAGAAUGUAAAGAAUCUGAAUGCAACUUUACCGCCCACUGGUAUUGCUGCCGUAAGUAUAUCAAGUGAAGCAUUUCAACGAUAUUCCAAUCAAGUGAAACAUAGAAAGCGCAAGAUGAGAGGUGUGUCGUGUUCUGUGGAAGGGUGUAGUUAGAUUUGGUAAAAAUGAGUGAUGGCCUUAAUUGUUGUAAUCUGCAUUACGUUAUGUUUAUGAUAGUUGUUUGAGCAAUAGAAGAUUGUGUUAGAUGAAACAUGAUUUGUAACCACACAUCUUUAUUUUUCAGUUUUCUUAUCUGCUUGUUAUUCUUUCAACUUUUAUCUAAAAUUAUUAACGAGAACGAAGAAGUGCUUUCUAACUUGUCAUAAUAAAAUAUUUUUAUUAUCAAAACCAUGAAAACACCAAAAUAAUGAAAAUAAUGUUGAGUUCGGAAAUUUAAAUACAAAAUCAUUCUUCCAUUCAUAACUGCAUAAAAAAUUGUUUGAGAUAGUUAAGACCAAAACAUAAGCGGAUUUGGUAAAUCUUAUUAUGCUUGCGCAGUGGAAAUGUAAGCAGGCAUACAAAAUAAAAGUGUAUACAUGUUUUAGCUUUACAAUUUAGGUUAAUUAAGUCAACUUAAUUAAUUUUAUUUGUACUCCAUUUUCUAAUUAAUAUUGUUAUGCCUAAUUUCUUGAAAAAAUUUUUUUUUUCUUUAUUUUAGAUCUUUUUCUAAAAUUUUGAAUUAACUCUUGCAAAUUUGAUUCUUACAUCAUAUUUUACUGUUCACAACUUAGAAAAGACUAAAUUCAAUUUAGGCAUUCAAUUUAGGCAAAAUGUCCCUUUUUUUUUCUUUGCCCUCAAAAUAUUAAAAAUAAAAAAUCCCUUCUCUUUCAGUUCGAUUUGUAAUUUUUAAUUUUUAUCAAAUUAUCCAAAAUUAAGUGAAAAAAUUAACAAGCUGUUAAUUUUGAUGAUGUGGAUGAUUAAUGUUGUUGUGAUAUUCAUAACAAUUCACGUUAGUAAAAAUUAAUUAUUUUUAAAAAAUUAAAAAUUUUAAAAUUUUAAAAAUUGACAUCUAUUUUUUUAUUUACUAAUUUUUUUCAAUCAAACUUCUUAUUAUAUUUGCUCUUUUCGACACAAUACUUAGAACUACCCAUAGCCCUUCCUCAACUCAUAAAUAGGAGCAUAAUAUGCUUCAACGCACUUAAACUCACAUCCUCCUGCAUUGACAUUAAUGUUAAUGCUAAUCAAAUUAAGACUCAAUUGGCUACUUACUAAUUUUAAAAAAAUACAAAAUUAUUUUCUUAAAUAAUUUAAUAUUAAGCUGUCAAUUUUAAAGUAUUAAUAAAUUAAACUAAACAAUAUUUCUAUUAAUAAAAAUCAUUUUCUUCCUUUUUUAAAAAAAAAAACCUAAAUAAACUCUAAAUAGAACUUCGAUCUCUUGAACCCACCUUCAUAUCAUCUUAAGAUUCUAGACAUAGCUUGUUGCACUAAUAAAUAGAGAAAAAAAAAAGAAGUACGAACUUUUAACUCAAAUGAGAGAAGAUAAUUUUUAUUGAAUUGAAGAAUAAUUUUAUACAAUUCUAGUCUUCCAUAGGCUUUACAAUAGCUCAAAGCUAAAAAUAACAGAAUUAAAUAUGAAAAAAAUUGAAAAUUUUAUUUAAGUUCUCUCAAAACUUUUUAAAAAUUCUCAUUAAAAUUUUCAAAAUUUGUAAUUAAAAUUUUUAAAAGUUUUAAAAAUUCUGAUUAAACCCCCAAAAUAUUUUAAAUUUCAAUUAAGUCCUCUCAAAAUUUAAUACCAAAAUCCACCGUCGAUUCUAUAUAACAAAUAAUACUAUUAUGCAAAAAUUCUAAAAAGAUUUCGGGGAAAUUAUUUAAAUUAACUAGAUAACCUUUUGCGUAAUUUUUAAUUUUGAUUUAAAAAUUCCAAAAUUAUUCUUCUCUAUUAUAUUUUUAUUAUCAGUUGAAGCCAAAUAUAAUACUAAUUGAAGCGGACGUAACCAUAAUGAGAGUGAUCAAAUUAUUGUAUUUUGAUACCAAAGACCAAAGUUAGGUGCUAUGUAAUUUAUCUCCUCCAAAAUUGUAAUGAUAAAAAGAAUGAUAAUAUCAUAUUUGACCCCUAUACUUUAUCAUAAUAUCUAAUAUGGUAUCUUCACUUUUAAAAUAUCAAUUUUGAUACUUAAACUUUAAUUCUAUUUAUUAUUGCCAUAUAUCCUUCUAAUGGAGUUAAAAUCUUACCUCACUUUGAAUACAACCAGUUGUAUGCCGUCAUGUGGCACUAUUAGGUAGAAAAUUUUUAAUCAAAGUCAAGGGAUUUGAAAAUAAUUAUACCAAAAUUUAUUCUAAAGGUCGAAAUGAAAAAUAUUAAGACCGACCCAAGCCCGGCACAAUUUAGCCCAUCAACGCAACUACCUUAAACUUAUACUUUGCCCUUAUACUAUCCAAUUCAAUCUAAGCUUAAAAUAAAAAUUGCCCCCUAAAUUAUAUUCAUUUUCUCAAACAUAUAUCUAAACCUUUUUUUUUUUUGUCAAAUUCAGUACUUAAAGUAAUUUUUUCCCACAUUGGCACCCUGUUAAUUCUCCGCCAUUAGUCAACCUUGUUAAAUGUUCAAUGAUGAUGUGGCCCAAUCACUAAUCGACACAUGACAAAAAAAAGUCACUUAAGUAAACCAUCUCAUUAUUUGUAUAAAAUAAUUCUAAAAAUAAUUUUUUUAGAAAAAAUUAAAAUUAUUUUUUGAUAUUAUUUUAAUAUUAAUUAAAAAUAAUAUUAAGAAAUAUUUCCACACCCCAUCCCUCUCCAAUCAUUCCCCCACCACUACUCUCCCAUCCCUCUCUCUGCCCCCCACCAUCCUUACCCCAACCCUCUCUCUCUGCUAACCCUUCAAUUAUAUUUUCAUUAAAAAAAAAUUUCCUCCUUUCUUUCUUUAACAUGGAUUCUUUGUCCCACAAUUGUCUUCAAAUUCAUCCACCACAUGUUUGGGAAAAUGCCCUAAAAAACUAAAUUUUAAGUUUCAAAUUGGUGUUUUCCUUUUCAUGUAUUGGAUUUACUUUCUUAGAGUAGGAUUAUAAGUUUAUACCUAAACAAUAAAGGGAGCAUUUCAGUGUUGAUUUUUGUGGGUAAAGGUUUUAUAUUUUGUUAGUUUGGUUUAGUGGACACUUAAUUUUAUUUAUGGUCUUCUUUCAAUCUAGAAUUUCAUUUGUACUCUGAAACUAUGAAGUGCAAAUAACCAAAUUAAGUAUCUUUAAUGCACCAAUUGUUUGCGUCUUUUACAGGAAAUAAUUUCUCUAGUUUUUUAUUUUGCCACGUGUCUAUUGGUGAUUGAGCCAUAUCAUCAUUGACAAGGUUGAUUAACGGCUGACUAACGAGGUACAAAUGUGAGAAAAAAAUAUAGUUUAGAUACUCAAAUUGAUCAAAAAAGUGUUUAGGUACUUAUUUAAACAAAUGAGUAUAUUUUAAGGACAAUUUUGAUAUUAAGCCUUCAAUCUAUAAAUAGAUUUACUUAUAAUUAAUUUAAUUUAAUUUAAUAUGAUCUGAUUCAAAUUAAUUGUUAAAUACAUUUAGUGACUUAAAUUUUAGUCACAAAUGACAAUCUUCUACAACAUAGUUUUUUAGUUCAAAUUGGUACUUUCAAAUAACUAAGUAUUAAUUUUGGAUAAAAAAACACCAAAUUCAGGUAUUAAUUUGAAUAAGAAGCGAAGUUUAAGUACUUAAUUGGACCAAAAUACCAAAUGGAACUUUGAAGUCAUGUUCAAGUACCUAAUUGGAAAGAAAAAAACCUUAGCUAUCAAUUUGAACUCUGAAGCUAAGUUCAAGUACCAAAAUGUAUAUCUCCCUUACUUUUUCCAAUAACCGAGAGCAUUCUAGUGAUUAUGUUGAAAGUAGACCUUAAUUUUCUGUCACCGACAAUCACAAUCCUUUUUGCGUUAUUUCUCAAUUUUUAGUUCAUAAACUAUCAAGAAUACUUCUUUUUUUUUUUCUUUUUUUUUUUUACAGUGAUUAUGUUGAGAUUUCCUAAAAUUCUCUUUUUAUUUGCAAGGAAUCUACAACUCUAGUGUAAAUCAGGGACAUUGUCUUUGAUCGCAGGGUGUUCCCUGAAAUGCUUGACACAAGCAUGCAGGCGUGGGAAGCUAUCAGCUUUGAUAAACUUAAAUCCCACCACCUCUUCCAUAGGCGCCAACAUAUGAAUAACUAUUCCUAAAACGAGGUCAGCCAUGCCAAUUCCAUUAAAAAGAGGCCUACGCUAAGCUACCAAGCGAAGAGGAAGAAGAAGAGAUGGUUUCAGGGUGAGGCAUGUGCGCCAAAACCCAAGAGGGUAGUGGUGGAUGCAAGGCAUCACAUGCUGGGAAGGUUGGAUUCCAUAUUGGCCAAGGAGUUGUUGAAUGGCCAAAAAGUAGUGGUGGUGAGAUGUGAAGAGAUAUGCAUGUGGGGUGGAUUGGUUAGGCAGAAGAUGAAGCACAUGAGGUUUCUUAGGAAGCGUAUGAACACUAAGCCUUCUCAUGGUCUCAUCCUGUUUCCUGCUCCUGCUAACAUCCUCUGGCGUACCAUUCGUGGGUGUGUUUUUGUUUUCGAGUUUUUUUUUCCCUUUUAGUGUUGUUUUUACAGUUCUUUAUUUGGUCUGUGAAUGAAAAGGAUGGAAAUUUCUGGGUUUUUGAUGCUUGGUAAUUCAGGAAGUGUUUGUUAUGAACUUUUUGAGAGAUUUUUUCUAUUUAUUUGAAGUUCUAUGAUUUGGAUAUUGGAAUAUAUAUUGCAAAAGAACCAAAGGAAUCUGUGUAUUUUGUUAUAUUUGAUUUCAAAAUUAAUAAUUAGAGUUUGCUAUUGAUUUUUCUUAUUAGAGAUCUGUGUGUCUGUUAUGGUUGGUUUUUGGGAAAAUGUAGGGAAGAAGUGAAAGAGAGUAGAAUGAGUGUGCUUGAGGUUAUUAUUGUUGGAUUGAGAGAAAACUAAUAGCUGACAAGGUCUAUGAAUCUUAUGGUGCAAAGGCAAUGCAUUUGGCUUCAGCAUAUAUGAAGUAAAGUAUAUAACUGGGCUUCAUUGUGACUUUCCUUAUGGUAACUGAUAUUUGCUUUGAUUGCAGGAUGAUUCCUCACAAAGAGUAAGCGCAAAGUGGCAGCUUUCGCUGGGUUGAAAUUGAAGGCUUAUGAGGGGAUUCCUGGACCAUAUGAUAAGACUAAGAGAAUGGUUAUUCGUGAUGCUCUCAUGUUUUGCGGUAGUUGGUUUCUUUCGUGGAAUUUAGAAUUUGGUUUUCGUACUUGCUUCAGUGGAUAGUUAGUCAUGCUCAAUGUUUUAAUUGUUCUUUCGGUUUUUUUAACUUAGGGUUUUGAGGUUUCAGAAAGGACACAAAUUGGUGGAGAAAAUAGCAUUACCCUGGAGUAAAUAUGAAAUAAAACAUUGAACGCUUUUAUGUAGGUUAUCCAACAUGCUGAAUGCUUAGGACUUGGUUUGGAGCUUUAGGAACUACUAAUGAAGAAGUUUAUGAAGACAUCAAAAGAGUCAUUUUAUUGGUUUGGCAGUUCUAGGACUUGGUUGUCCUUUACUCAGAGCCAGAGCAGGUAGGUUCUGUUUUUACUCGGCUGUUUGUGAUUGAUGUUUGUUGCACCUUUUCCCCCUCUCCUUUUCUAACUGUAUUGUAGGUUUGGGUCAGUGGUUGGGCUAUGAAUUUAUGAAUAUCACACUGUUGUGUCUGAUUAACACUGCAGACUCCUGGAAUUGUCUCCUUACUGAGUCUUACAACCUAUCAAGACGACACCAAACCAAACCUGCGGCAUACAGAAGAAAAACAUUCCUUGCAAUAAAAUUAAAACUGAUACAAAAACCACAACAUCCGUAGGGAAGCAUCAAAACACCUCAAAAAGAUAACCACAGUGGCACUUGCAUGCACCACAGCUCAUGACAGCAAUCGAAAAAGAGAUCAACUUCAAGACAUCAUCUCAUGUUAUCAAUUUGUGAGCAUCCCUUAGAAACUAAAUAAACACCAUAAAAGAAGCCUACACACCGUCCUCACUCAUCCUUAGAUUAAAACUUCGUAUCACCCCUAAACACCACCAGUCAAAAUCAUAUCUUACUCAAGUUCAAAAAACCUCCUAGUUGAAGAGAAGACAAUCGAAAUCAUCCUUAACCCAAAGAUCCUUAUUCAACAUCGAUCAAGAGGACAUUGAACAUGAUUCCAUGAUAAGCUUGUUAAAAUCCGUCAAGAAAGAAAAGGUGGAUCAGCAGCAUUCAACAGUGUUCCUCAUCAGCUAUGGCCGUCGAUGAUGAACCUCAGCUCCCUCAGCCGUUUGAGUUCACAUCCUGAUUUCACUUGGAUUUCGUUUUGAAGAUAGUUUUUAGAGACGACUGGUGUUUGGUUACAUUGCAGAUCUUGGACCUCAACCAGUUACCUUCGUUCUAAUGUUCUUUCUAUUUUUAGGGGAAAUAUUGUCAUAUACAUGCUCAACCAUUAUUCACCUUUUAAUUUAAGUUGAAAAUUGUCACAUUCGAUUUUGUUGCCUAAUUUCGUUGAUAUGCAUGAAUAUAUUAAAUAUACACUAAAAAUAUAAAAUAUAAAAUUAAAAUUAAUUAUAAUUUUAUUUAUAAUUAAGUUAAAUAAAUUAUAAGAAAUAUAAACUAUAAAGUAAAUUGAAACAAAUAUAUAGUAAAAUUGUGAACUGAAAAUAUAUAUUUUAAACUUAAAUAGUAAAUUGUUAAACUUAUAUAUAUAUUUCAAUUUCUUAAUUAAUUUAAACAAAUAUUAUAUUAUAUUCAUUUUCAAACUCUAACAAAUAUCAUAUUCAGGAUUAAUUAAUUUAUUAAAAUUCAACGUUUCAUAUUCUUAUCCUUGGAAUGGAAAUGCUUGCGGUAUUAUUGGGGAAAAAAAUAUUGACAAAAUGUCUCACAAGUCAACGACGAAAAAUGAUUCUUCUCUUUAUGAAGAACAAAGGCAAGACCUAAGAAACUAUACCGCAAAGGCUGGAGUAAAGUGAAGCAAACUCAAGGGUUUUCUUGUAAUGGAUGUGAGUGAGUGUGAGAGUAGGACAGAGGGAGAGACCAUGGAACUUCAACAUUUCAGCCAUCGACAUCCUUUGGUCUUCUUCAAAUAUCAGCAGACUGUUGCAAGCGAAGAAGUAAACCCAGAAGCAGCUCUUUGCCUUGGGUGUGAGAAACCUGUAGAGGGCUGGAGCUAUGGCUGCAAUCAAUGUGAGUUUUAUCUUCAUAAGGGAUGUGCUGAGUUAGAGUUAGCCCCCCAGAUUCAGCAUCCUUUCCACCCCAAACACCCUCUAACUCUUUUGCCAGAAUCACUUUAUUCUGGGGGGUGCGAUUUGUGUGGUAAGGCAUUUCGGGGAUUUGUUUAUAAUUGUUAUGAUUGUAGGUUCGAUCUGCACAUCAAUUGUGCUUUGCUUCAAUCAUCCGUUGCUGCAAAUUUUCCUAAUUCUUUGCACCCCCAUCCAUUGUUCUUCAUUCAAAAUAAUAACAUGGAAGUCGAGCCCGAUUGCUCUGGAUGUCAAAAACCUAUAUCUGGUCCAUUUUACCACUGUUCUGAUUGCUCGUCUCCUACAUUCUUUAACCUUCAUGAGGAAUGUGCUGAACUACCCCUUGAGAUUAAUCACCCCUGUGACCGUAAGCAUCCUCUUACUUUCUUGCCACAACCGCCUACUCAUCCCCAGAAAUGUAGUUGCUAUUUGUGCAGAAUCCAAUGGAAGGGGUUUGUUUAUUCCUGCUCUCUUUGCAACUUUGAUCUUUCACUUGAUGAUUUUCUUUUUUCACCACCAACAAUCACAGUUGCAAGUCAUGAACACCCGUGGAUGCUUGUAUCUAGAAAAAUGUCGUUUGUUUGUGAUUUUUGUGGCACUGACGGAGAUCACUCCCCCUAUUUCUGUGCUACAUGUCACCUCCUUGUCCACAAGAAUUGCAUUUCAUUGCCACGCCACAUCAUGAUAACACGACAUCGUCACACGAUUUCUCUUUCUUAUUCUUUUAGACAAAAUCAAGUUGAAGAUGGGAUGUGCAGAGUUUGUUAUUUGGAAGUUGAUCCAAGCUACGGCAGUUACCGUUGUUCUGCUUCUGAUUGCAAUUAUAUUGCUCAUGCACUUUGUGCAACUGAUAAAGCAAUUUGGGAUGGAACAAUUACGCUUGAAGGCUAUGAUGAGAGGUCCGAGGAAGUGGUGCAUGAACCUUGGAAUUUGAUUACUGAUGUUGUUGAACAAAUUAGUACUGGAGAGCUAAUGGUAGCAAGUGAGAUCAAGCAUUCCUAUCAUGAUCAUAAUUUAAGACUCACUUUUAGUGGGAAGACCAAAGAUGAGGAUAGUCAGUGCGAUGGGUGCACGAGACCUAUAUCAACUCCUUUUUAUAGUUGUGAGCAAUGCAAGUUCUUUCUCCACAAAGAUUGCGCUGAAUUGCCUAAAAAAAUGCCACACCCAUUUCACAGGCAUUUGCUUACUCUCACAAACUCAGACGAUGAGGAAGGUCAUUCAUGGUGCCAUGCUUGCGAUCGUUGUUAUCAAGGGUUUAGCUACGGAUGCUACGAAGGAAAUUGCUUCUUCAGAAUUGACAUUCAAUGUAUGUUAUUUUCGGACACCUUGAAGCACCCAAGUCAUGAGCAUUCACUCUUUCUUGUCCACAAUAACAAUGGAACGAGUUGCAGUGCUUGUUUCAAAGAGCUAUACCCAUGGAAUGUUGCAUAUAGAUGCAUGAAGCGCUGUGAUUUCAGUUUAGAUGUAGGUUGUGCAACACUACCACUCAUUGCUUGGUACAAGUAUGACAGGCAUCCUCUUACUUUAACUUAUUCUGAUAAUUCUGAGCCUUCUCAACAUUACUGCGAUCUCUGCGAGAAAGAAAGAGAGCCAAAUCGUUGGCUUUACUACUGUGCUGAUUGUGAUAACUCUCUUCAUCUCAAUUGUGCUAUUGGGGAUCUCCCAUAUAUGAAGCUUGGAAACAAAGUCAACUAUUAUAGUCAUAAAGAUCCACUCUCUGUUGUGAAAAACAUUUGGAAUUGUCCUCCAUGUAAGGUGUGUGGUGAGAUUUGCAAUGGACAUGCCCUAGAAUGUAAAGAAUCUGAAUGCAACAUUAUUGUUCACUGGGAUUGCCUUUGGGAACCCAAGUGGAGCAUUUGAAUGAUAUUCCAGUCAAGUUUAAGAAACAGAGAAGGCAUAAGAGGAGAUGUGUGUUGUGUUCUGUGGAAGGGCGUAGCAAAUUUGUUAAAAAUGGGUGAUGGCCUUAGUUGUUGUAAUCUGUAUUAUGUUAUGUUUAUGAUGGUACUUAGAGCAGUAGAAGGCUGUGUUAGAUGAAACAUGAUUUGUAACCACACAUUUUUAACUUUCACUUUUCUAUUUGAUUCUUAUCCUUUCAACUUUUAUCUAAAAUUACUAAUGAGAUUGAAGAAUUGGUUUUUAGUUUGUCAUAAGAAAAUAUUUUUAUUAUCUAAACCUUGAAAAUACUAAAAUAAUGAACAUAAUGUUGAGUUUCGAAAUUUAAAUAGAAAAUCAUUCCUCCAUUCAUAAAAAUUAUGAGUGAUUGUUAAGACCAUGAAAUGUGUAAAUGGUUUCUCAAUUUUUUUUAUUAUCUAAAAAUCUUAAAUUUAGCAUUUAAAGAUCAAAACAUAAUCGAAUUUGGUAUAUCUAUAAAUGUUUAUUUACUUAUUAUUUUUGCAAAGUGGAAAUGUAUGAAGUUUGUGACAUAAAUUAAUCAAGAUUUUGUGACUUAAAUCAACCAGCUAUAAAAAAAAAAGUGUAAAUAUAUUUUAGCUUUACAAUUUAAGUUAAUUUUAUUUCACUUAAUCAGUAAUUAUUUGUACUCCAUAUUCAUUUUAAGAUUCGAAUCAUUUUAAGAUUCUGAACAUAGCCUGUUGCACUUACAAGUAGAGAAACAAAAGAAAAACGAGCUUUUAUCUCAAAUGAGAGAUCAUUAUUUUUAUUGGAUUGAUGAAUAAAUCCAUAUGGUUCUAGCCUUUUAUAGGUCUUAUAAUAGCUCAAAGCUAAAAAUAACAAAACUAAAUAUGAGACAAUCUGAAAUUUUUAUUUAAAUUCUCUCAAUUUUUUAAAAAGUUCUCAUUAAAUUUUUCAAAAUUUUUAAAAAUUCUUAUUAAGCCCCAAAAAUAUUUUAAAUUUUGAUUAAUUCCUCUUAAAAUUUAAUGUAAAAGUCCUCCGUUGAUUCGACAUAACAAAAAUACUAUUAUGCAAAAGUUCUAAAUUGAAUUAGGGGACAAUUAUUUAAAAUUAAUUAGAUCAUCUUUUGCAUAGUUUUUAAUUUUGAAUUAACUAUUCCAAAAUUAUUCCUCUCUAUUAUAAUUUUAUUAUUAGUUGAAGUCAAACAUAAUACAGGUCGAAGCGGACAUAACCACAAUGAGAGUGACCAAAUUCUAAAUUAUUUUAUUUUGAUACCAAAAUUCAAGUACUGAGUAAUUUAUCUCCUUCAAAAUUGUAAUGAUAAAAGGAAUGAUAAUGGCAUAUUCAAUCCCUAUACUUUAUCAAAAUAUCUAAUAUGGUAUCUUCACUUUUAAAAUAUCAAUUUUGAUACCUAAAUUUUAGAAAUUUUUAGGAUUUAAAUAAUAUAAUUUUUGUUAUAAUUUUAUAAGAUACACAUAUUAUUUUAAUAAUACAUUUUUUUAAAAUUUAUAGUAUAAUUUUUUUUACCACAGCGAUCUCAAAUACUUAUAUGUGUUUAUGCUUAUGAUGUAAUUUUUAUAACUUGUAAAGUAUAAUUUUUUAAAAUUAGAUUUUGGUGUAAUUAUAUGAGUCAUUUUUAUUUUAAUUUAUUUUCAAUUUGUUGGGAAACAUUUAUUUUAAUGUUUUAAGUGUAUUUGGUGUAUUAUAUUUUUAAAAUUUUAUAAAAAAAUUUAAUACGAGUGGGUCAGACAAAACCUAUCAAUUGAGCCUAAAAAAUUAUUAAGGUCUGACCCGAUUCAACCCAUAGACACCUCUAUUUUAAACCAUCUUCUUUGCUGAUUUAGGCUUUAAGUAAAGGGAUGUGUUUAAGUGAAGAGAUAGAAAGAAAAAAAAUCCGACAAAUAGAAUAAAAAAUCUUGGUUGCGAAGAUAAACAUAAUAUAAAGAAUAUAGAUAUCAAAUUCUUUAAAACUUGUUAAAAAUUAUACAUGUUUUCUCAAAUACAUUUUAAACUCUUCUUUUUUUUUUUUGUCAAUCUGAGUAUUUAAACUAAUUUUUUCUCACAUUGGUACCGCCAUCAAUUAUUCUUUAGUUCGAUUCAGUGGAAUAAAAAUAAAAUAGAAAUUAGCUUUCGGAGAGAUGGCUGAGUGGUUGAUAGCUCCUGUCUUGAAAACUGGUAUUGUUCGAAACAAAGAACUAUUAAGGGUUCGAAUCCUUCUCUCUCCUUUUGCUCGAUGAAUAUAUUUCUUUCUUUAUUGCUUUUUCUGGCUUCUUAAUUAAGAAUCUUAAUAUUAAUAAAAUUUAAAGACCCUAAAGGAACACGUGUCAUAUAUUCCACAGAACGCCAUUCUUGCCAAGGUUGUAUGUCUUUUUUCAACCUACUCAAGUCCAAACCAUUGGGACCUUCUAGAGGUUCUAACCAAGGAGCACGCAGAUCCCAAUAACACAUAGUUUUCCCUCCAAAAAUGACUUCUCGGGUUGAGGAACGUGUUAGAUAUUUCCCCACGUUAGCCCCAAGAUGUUAGCCCCAAAAAUCACCUCGUUAUUUGUAUAAAAUAAUUCCAAAAUUAAAAAAUAGAGAAAUUAAAAAUAUUUUUUCUGAUUUUAUAAAUAUAUAUUAGCGUUUAUUUUAAUAUUAAUUAAAAAAUAGUAAAAAGUAUUUCCCCACCCCAUCACUCUCCCACCUUCUCCCCAUCAUUGCUCUCUCAUCCCUCUCCCCUCUUAACCUUCUCCCUUUGUUAACCCUUUAAUUAUAUUUUCAUUAAAAGAAUUAUUUCUCUCCUUUCUUUCUUAAACAUUGUUUCUGUAACGCCCCCAAGCCCGAGACCGUCGCCGGAUUCGAGCUUGAGGUGUUACCGAACAUAAUUUAUCGAAUGAAGAACUUCGAAUCAUUUAUUUCUACAUUCACAGCUUUCUAGCUACCUGCGUCACAGUUACAAGAAAAAUCAUAUCUCGAGUUACAAAACUCAAAAUCAAGAUCCGUAAAUUUUCCUUAAAUCUAGACUCAUAUAUCUAUUUACUAAUUUUUUUCUAGAAUUUUUCGUUGGUCCAAUUAAUACAGUUUAUUAGUUAAAGUUACCCCUGUUUCAGGACUUAACUGGACUGACCUCUGUUUACUACGAACCAUAUUUCUAUUUUUGAAAAGUUUAUAUGACUAUGCCGUUUAUUUAUUCCAAAACUAGACUCAAUAAGGAUUCCAAGAAUAUAAAAUAAACCACCUAAUUAUUUUUUUACAAUUUAUGGUAAAUUUCUAAAGUUGGAACAGGGGAUCCAGAAAUCGCUCUGGCCCUGUUUCACUAAAAUUCAAAUAUCUUAUAACAUAUAAUUCCUUUACUUGUUUCAUUUGUUUUAUAUGAAACUAGACAUAUUAGGCUUCAAUGUCAUAUUUAAUCCAUCACCAAAUUCAAUUUAUAUGAUUUUUAGUAAAUUUUCAAACUCAUGUCAGAGUUGCUGCAAUAUUCUGUUUAUGGCAAAUUUCAUCUUUUCAUGAGUUUUUAUGAUCUAGAUAACAUAUUAAACUUCCAUGACAUCAAACAUGAUCUAACUUAGCAUUUUCCAUGACUUAUCAUUAUUAAGCAUUUUCUCAACCAAAUCAUGGCCUUAUCACAAAAUUAUUUACACAAAAUAGGUGUAUUGCUAUACAUGCCAUACUUAAGUUUUACAAGCCAUUUACCAAAAAGAGUCCUUCGGAUAGUGUGAUCGAACCUUCGACCUGUCCCGAUUCCUAAGCCGGCUUAUUCAAAACUACAAUGAAAAGGAGGGAAUAAGCAUAAAUGCUUAGUAAGUCAUAUGCAAAUAACAAGUAACAUAACAAUACAAUUAUACCAAACAACCUUAGCAUGGUAUCACCAAAACAUAUAUCACAUUUCUAAACAUCAUUAAUCAUCUUACCGCCUUAUCGUUGUUGUAUCUAUUUUCAACCCGAAGGUUAAGUACAUACCUGUCCAAAGUGUCCAUUUCACAAUACUUACCAAUACGUCACCGGCAUCUUAAGUGUUCUUCCAUUUCACUAGAAAUUUUACCCGUUGAACACAUUGGACUAUUACUCGGAUACAUGGAUAAUUUGCACAUAAGUGCCACAUUUGUAGCCAAGCUACCAUGUAACCCGCCCAUAAGUGAACUCGGACUCAACUCAAUGAGCUCGGGCGUUCACAUCCAUAAGUGAACUCGGACUCAACUCAACGAGUUCGGAUGCCUAGUUACAUCUCAUGAACUCGGACUCAACUCAACGAGUUCGGACAUUUCACAUCCAUAAGUGAACUCGGACUCAACUCAACAAGUUCGGAUGUUCAACCAUCCUAGUGACAUGUCACUUGUAUCCUAAUCUAUUCCUAAGGUUCAAACGGGAUUUUCCUCGAACACAUCUCCUUGCCAUCUUCCGUAAAAUACCAAAACCAAUACUCGGUAGCACUUUAUAUUUAACAAAUAAUACACUUAAUUUGCAUUUUAUUCGAAAAUAACCACAAAGCAUAUAUUUCAUGAUAAAAAUCAGCAUAUCAUAUAUUUAACAUCAAUAGCUUAAAAAUAACAAUUAUGCUACCUUAUUUACACAUGAACUUAUCUCGGUACAAAAUUUUUAACAAUCGAGCCUAUUCCUCGUAAACUUUGUUUUUCUCUCAAUCACGACUUGAAUCUCGUUUCUCUUGAUCUCUAUUACCAAAUUAAUCUUAUUUAAUACAUACAUUCAUUAAAACAGUCCUUAAUACGAACUUUGGAAAAAUUACCAUUUUACCCCUAAACUUUUGCAUAAUUACACUUUUGCCCCUAGGCUCGGGAAUUAAACUUCAUCUCUUAUUAUUAUGUUUUAUGACAUUCUGAUCAUUUUUUCCUUCUAUGGCAACAUCAAAUUCUCACUCUAACAUGUAUUUAUGACUACUAAAUAUUUUUACCGAUUAAGCCUUUUUACUCGUUUUUACUCAAAACCGAGUAGCACAAGUUGUCUAACAAAAUUUAAAACCUCAUAUUCUGUCAUAAAAUACCAAAAUACACAAAUUUCACCUAUGGGUAUUUUUCCAAAUAUGAACCAUAGGUUGAAUUAUUGUUAACAUAAGCUAAAUCGAGCUACCGGGAUUUCAAAAACAUAAAAAUCAUUAAAAACGGGGCUUGAAAUCACUUACUAUGAAGUUUGAAAGUUGAAGAAACCCAGCUAUGGAGGAGAGCAAAAAUCGGCAGAACAGCAUGGAGAAGAUGAUCAUUUUGGGUUAUUUUUCCUAUUUUUAUUUCAUUUAAUAUCCAAAUGUCCAAAAUGCCCUUACUACUAAACUUUCCAAAAAUUCCUUCCAUGUCCUAAUUUUGUCCAUGAACUUAAAAUUGGUCAAAUUACCAUUUAAGACCUCCUAAUUAAUAUUUCAAAGCAAUUUCAUACUAAAAACUUCUAGAAUGCAAGUUUUGCAACUUAUUCGAUUUAGUCCCUAACUUUAAAUUAAACUCGUUAUGCCAAAAAUUUCUUCACGAAAUUUUCACACAAUUAUGCAAUCAUCACAUAAACUUCAAAAUAAUUAUAAAAUAAUUAUUUCUAUCUCGGAUUUGUGGUCACGAAACCACUAUUCCGAUUAGGCCUUAAUUCGGGAUAUUACAGUUUCUUUGUCCCAUAGUUGCCUUCAAAUCCAUCCACUACAUGUUUGAGAAAAGGAUAAACUAUAAAAAUAGGCACUUUUAUUUGCCUCUGAUUAUAUUUUAGUUACUUAUGUUUGAAAUAUUACGUUUUAGUCACUUACAUUAUCGUUUUAUUAUGAAGUGGUCACUCUAUUGUUAAGCUCCGUUACCUCCCUAACGGUGGUCCUACAUGACAGUCCAAAUGGGGUUUAAAUUCCAAUUUGGAUGUCCUACAUGGUAGUCUAAAUUAAAUUUAUUUAAUUAAAAACCUAUUUUUAUCUCAGCAACUAGGCAUCCAAGUUGACAUUUAACACCCACUUGGACUGCCGUUAGGGAGGUAAAUGAGUUUAAAGGCAGAGUGACCACUUCGUAAUAAAAUGAUAACGUAAGUGACUAAAACAUAACAUUUCAAAUAUAAGUGACUAAAUGUAAUAUAAAGAAAACAAAAGUGACUGUUUUUGUAGUUUACCCAAGAAAAAAUGAAUCUCAAAAAAUUUAAUUUCAAGCCUGAAAUUGGUGUUUUCCUUUUCAUGUAUUGGAUUUGUUUCGUUACAAUAAGAUCAUAAGUUUAUAUCUAAACAAGAAAGGGAACAUUUCAGUGUUGAUUUUUGUGGUCACGGUUUUGUAUUUGUGAGUUUGGUUUAGUGGUCUCUAAAUUUUAUUCAUAACCUUUAUUCAAUUCGAGGUUUGUGUUUGUACUUUGAAGUAUAAAUAACCAAAUCAAAUACCUUCAGUGUACUAAUUGCUUGCGUCUUUUACAGUAAAGUCUAGAACAGGGGAAAGUGUUGAGGAAAAUGGGGUUAUGAUGUUUUAAUUAUUGACUUAAUGUUGUUCGGGUAGAUGGAAGACAACAAAGUCUCCAUUCAAAGAUCAAAGGAAAUUGAGAUGCCAAUUGUCUUUGAAGAGGGAGGGGAGAGAGAGGUGGUGAGGGAGGGAAAUAUAUUUUUAAUUGAUAUUAAUAUUAAAUUAUAAAAUUAGAAAGAUGAUUUUUAAAUUUUUUUUAUUUAGUUACGUUUCAACCGGUGAUUGGGCCACGUCAUUAUUGACCAAAAUUAAUUGACGAAUGACUAAUAGAGGAAAAAAAAUUCUUAAACACAUUUAAUGACUUAAAUUGAAGUCAUACACAUGACAAACUUCUAUAACAUCUCUUUUAUAGAUUGAUCUUUGAUUGUGGUAUUCCUUUUGCAAGGUUUUAUAAAUUGCUAUAUGGGUUUGUAUAUUUAGAGAGGGUCUUUGAGUAUCUAAGGAGAAAAUUUCCAAUUUAUGUUUUAAUAAAUAAUCAUCCAUUUUUCUCAUUUUAAUUUAAGCUGAAAAUUAUAACAUUUAUUUUGAAUGUCAUAAUGUAUAGAACUACCUAUAACGCCCCCAACACUUCAACGCAUCUAAGCUCACAUCCUUCUGUAUUGACAAUAAUGUUCAUGACAAUUAAGGUAAGACUCAAUGCGUGAUUUUAGACUCUUAAAAAUUAACAAUUUAAUUUAAUUUUGUUCUUUAACCUAAAAUUUUGAAGUUUGGCUCUCAAUAAUUUAUAUUUAAUUAAAAUAUUUCAGUUUUUGAUUUUUUCUUAGAAUGAGCUAUCGAUGAAUUCGAUCUAAAGAUUUAACAAACCUUUUUUAGGAAUCAGAACAGAACCGACUUCUCUAUAAAAUUAACAAAAUCAAAUUGAUUUUUUUCCCAAUCAAUUUAGUUGAGAAAUCGACUUAAUCGAUAUUAUUAUUUUUUUAAUUUUGGUUGCUUGGUGCUUAAGGAAAUGAGAUUCUAAAUCCAAAUAACUAAUAAAAAAUUGGCUAUUUCAAAAUAAUAAAAAAAAGUUUUAAUAUUUGAAGAUAAUAUCCUAUUAUAUUUUAUAAGUUAACUUGACAUCAUUUCAAUUAGGAAAAUUACUUAAAAAUUAAUUUUUAAUAAAGUAAUUAAUAUUAAUACAAUAAUGUUUUCAUGUUUGUAUAUGAAUUGCUUAAAUAAAAGCAUUGAAAGUUAGAUUAAGCCCGAACUUAAAACAAAACUUAAUUAUGACCUAUGAUUUACUAAAUAAUAUUGACAAAAAAAUUACUAUUUUUUUUAUAAAUAUAAUUUUAAUAUUAGUUUUUUCUUUCACCAGUGACUAUGAAAAAAUUCAAUUAAUUUAAUUUUGAAUUUUCAAAAUAAAAACCAAUCUGACUUAGCAGUUUUGCCCCACCUACAAUUUACCCAAUAAAAUUAAAAUCGACCCGUUCAGUGGCUUUAGUAUGUUUGACUUAACUAUUGCACACCCUUAAAAUUUUGCCCCUUCAAUGUAUGUAUACUUGUUAACACUGGGACUGGUAUCAUUAGCUAGGCUUUGAAUGGUAUACAUGUGAUUACGUUCUCUUUUUCUUUCAAGUAAAGAAGAUGAGAAAUGAAACGUGCAGAGCAAGCAACAAAAAAUUCGGAAGAAAAGUAUCCUCUCCUAUUCCCUUCUUCCUCCUUAUUCUUUAUUUGGAUGUUUCUUUCUUCUAUCUUUCUUUAUUUGCUUAUUUAGAUCUCUAUAUAUUCUUAGAUUCUUUUGCGACUUCAAAAUUGGGCAAAGCAUCAACAUAUUCCUUUCUUUAAGAAGACCAAAACCAACACCUAAGAAAAGAAUCUACUAACCAUGAGGCCUGGAAUAAUUGAUGAAGCAAUUUCAUUUUUGUUCUUCUUCUUCUAAAUGAUUUCACAGUAUCUGGGAGUUCGAAAGAAAGAGAGAUGGAAAUUCAACAUGUCUUCCAUCCGCAUAAUUUGGUCUUCAUCGAAGAUCACGGUAUUGCAAGCAAAGCAGCUCAUUGCUUUAUGUGUGAUAAACCUGUAGAGGACUGGAGCUACUACAGCUGCAAUCAAUGUGAGUCUUAUCUUCAUAAGAGAUGUGCUGAAGCGGCCCGUAAGAUUUGGCACCCUUUCCACCCCAAACACCCUCUCACUCUUUUGCCAAAAUCACCUUAUUCUGAGGGGCGCGGAAUUUGCGAUCUUUGUGGUAAGGCAUUUCGUAGAUUUGUUUAUAAUUGUCAUGAUUGUAAGCUCGAUCUGCACAUCAAUUGUGCUUUGCUUCAAUCAUCCAUUGCUGCAAAUUUUCCUAAUUCUUUGCACCCCCAUCCAUUGUUCUUCGUUCAAAACCAUAACAACGAAGUCGAGUCUGAUUGCUCCGGGUGUCAAAAACCAAUAUCUGGUCCAUUUUACCACUGUUCAUAUUGCACUUAUCCUACAUUGUUUAACCUUCAUAAGGAAUGUGCUGAACUACCCCUUGAGAUUAAUCACCCCUGCCAUGGUAAGCAUCCUCUUACUCUCUUGCCACAACCACCUUCUCAUCCCCAGAAAUGUGGUUGCUCUUUGUGCAGAAUCCAAUGGAAGGGAUUUGUUUAUUCCUGCUCUCUUUGCAACUUUGAACUUUUGCUGGAUGAUCUCUUUUCACGACCACCACUCACCGAUGCAAGUCAUGAACACCAGUGGAUGCCUAUAUUAAGAAAAAUGUCAUUCAUUUGUGAUUUUUGUGGCACUGCCGGAGAAAAAUUCCCCUAUUUCUGUGCUGCAUGUCACCUCUUUGUCCACAAGAAUUGUAUUUCAUUGCCACGCCAAAUCAAGAUAACACGACAUUGUCACACGAUUUCUCUUUCCUAUUCUCUUAAACAAAAUCAAGUUGAGGAUUGGAUGUGCAAAAUUUGUUACAAGGAAGUUGAUAUAAGCUAUGGUCAUUACCGUUGUCCUGCUUCUCGUUGCCUUUAUGUUGCUCAUGUACGUUGUGCAACUGAUGAAGCAAUUUGGGAUGGAACAAUUAUGCUGGAAGGCUAUGAUGAGAGGUCCGAGGAAGUGGUGCAAGAACCUUGGAAUUUGAUUACUGAUGUUGUUGAACAAAUUAUUAUUGGAGAGCUAAUGGUAGCAAGUGAGAUCAAGCAUUCCUAUCAUGAUCAUAAUUUAAGACUCACUUUUAGUGGGAAGACCAAAGAUGAUGAUAGUCAGUGUGAUGGGUGCACGAGACCUUUAUCAACUCCUUUUUAUAGUUGUGAGCAAUGCAAGUUCUUUCUCCACAAAGUUUGCGCUGAAUUGCCUAAACAACUGCCACACCCAUUUCACAAGCAUUUGCUUACUCUCUCAAACUCACACGAUGAGGAUAAUAAUUCAUCGUGCAGUGCUUGCUUUCGUUCGUAUCAUGGAUUUGGUUACCGAUGCUACAAAGGAGGUUGCAGGUUCAGAAUUGACAUUCAAUGUAUGUUAUUGUCGGACACCUUGAAGCACCCAAGUCAUGAGCAUUCACUCUUUCUUGUCCACAACAACAAGGGAACGAGUUGCAGUGCUUGUUUUAGAAAACUACGCUCAAGGGAUGUUGCAUAUAGAUGCAUGAAGCGCUGUGAUUUCAGUUUAGAUGUAGGUUGUGCAACACUAUCACUUACUGCUUGGUACAAGUAUGAUAGGCAUCCUCUUACUUUGACUUAUUUGGAUCAUUAUGAGCUUUCUCAACUUUAUUGCGAUCUCUGUGAGAAAAAAAGAGAGCCAAAUCGUUGGUUUUACUACUGUGUUGAUUGUGAUAACUCUCUUCAUCUCAACUGUGCUCUUGGGGAUCUCCCAUAUAUGAAGCUUGGGAAUAAAAUCGAAGAUAUAGGUCAUCAACAUCGACUCACUGUUGUGAAAAACAUCUGGAAUUGCCCUCCAUGUAAGGUAUGUCCUGAGCUUUGCAAUGGACAGGCCCUAGAAUGUAAAGAAUUUGGAUGCAACUUUACCAUCCACUGGGCUUGUUGUCGGUCCUCCUACUUCUGGGACUCUAUCUGGUGAACCAUUUCAAUGAUACUCCACUCAAGUUUACCAGACUGAGAAGUCGCAACUUCAGAUGUCUGUUCUGUCUAUCUGCAUGCAUGUACCAGAUUUGCCAAUAAGGGCCCAUGUCCGUUUGUUUUUCUUAUUUGCUUUUUAUUAUGUUAUUGUUGUCUAAGAACUUCAACCUUGUUUAAAUCAAACAUGAUUUGAGGCUAGUCAUGAGAAAUUUUUUAGGGUAAAUAUACAUUUUGGUACCUGAACUUGGCUCUAAGGUGCACAUUGGUACGUAAGGUUUAUUUUGGUCCAAUUAUGUACUUGAACUUGAUGUCUUGGUUCAAAUUAGCUUUUGAGUCCAAAUUAAUACUUCAGUUAGAUGAUGUAUUUGAACCAAUUUGAACUAUAAAGUCAAGUUCGAUACUAAUUUGAACCAAAAUGACAAGUUCAAAUACCUAAUUGAAC
rnacentral:lncRNA from 1 species